GCAGUUUGAGCAAAAGAGAGGGCAUGUGGCCUCAGCUGUUGAAUGUUACAUGAAGCAAUAUGGUGUCUCUGAGGAACAAGUAUACAAAGAAUUUCAAAAGCAAAUUGAGAAUGCAUGGCUGGAUAUUAACCAGGAAUGCCUCAAACCUACUGCUGUUUCAAUGCCUCUCCUUGCUCGUAUUCUCAAUCUUACACGAGCCGCGGAUGUCGUUUACAAAGAGCAAGAUUCGUACACACAUGUUGGGAAAGUGAUGAGGGAUAACAUUGCGUCUGUCUUGAUCAACGCUGUAAUAUAACCAAAUGGAGUAGUUGAUUGCCUUGUGGAAGCCGUAAUAUCUAAUAAAUCACUAUAAAAGGAAAAAAGAAAAGAAAAAAGGUCCAAUUCAUACCUUAGCCGCCCCUAAUGGUUUGGGCUUUUGCGUGAAUAAAAACUAUUGUAAUAAUAUGGGAGAGACAUAUAAUGUUUCCUACUAGUUUCUCUCUCGGUUUGGUAGUGCUUUACAUCAUACUAUCACUUGGCUAAAUGUAUUAAUGUUGCUGCGUUGUAAAAACUCCAUCCUAAGAUGCAAACAUAACCAGGUUUGAUAUUGAUUUUCCUUUUCUAUUUCUUGCAUCCAUUUUAAUAUAUGUUUAAAACACUUUGAUCAAGUUUGACACUUUUCUAUUAUUCAAAGAUCACGUGAUGGAGAAAAUUCUCCAUAGAAAAUCACUUCUUGUAGAAAUGGUCUAGAACAUACAAAAGAGAUAAAAAAAUCUUAAGAAUUCAUCCUAACGGGUAAAAUAUUAUUAUUAUUAUUAUUAUUAGACAUGCUAAAAGUUUUAUUAUAUACCUGUUAAAAAUAAAAGUUAUGAUAUUAUAUGAGGUUGGAAUUUGAAGUUCAUUUGCAACUUUUUUUCUUCCUCGUUAUUUUUUUAAUAUACGUAAAGUAUUUUUUUUUAAAAAAAAGACUUACUAAAAGAAUUGUCAUGAGAAGGUUUUAUUUUUAUUUUUUAAUAAUAAGUUAAAAUAAAUUUGAAAAAAAAAAUAAAUUAAUAUUUUUUAACAUUUUAUUUUAAUAUUUAAUUUUGUGCAUGGAUAUGUCAUAAGAUUAGGUUACGUACAUAUAGUACAUGUAAUUAUAAACACUAAGGGAAAGUAGCUCAGGUGCAAAGUUGUCACCUCCCUUCCUACAUGCACUUUCAAGUUUUUUUCAGCAAGCUGAUGUAGCCACUUACGAGAUAAGAUUACCAUAAAUUGCAAAAAAUUAGUGAUGAAUAAAAAAAAAAUAACAAAAUGUCAUGAUUAAUCAAGAUAGAUUAUCAAAAUUUCAACAAAAAAUCAUUGAGUGAAAUUCUUUCAUAAUUUCCUAUACCAGUAAUAUUUCGAAUAUAUUAAUCACGAUUUCCAAGUUUACAAGUUUACCAUAUCUACAAAUUAACAUGUUGAAGAAGUUCGAGAAUAAUUUUUAGAGGAUUAUAAAUGUCUUUUAUUAUUAAAUUUACUUUACAAAUAGCCACAUGUUUAAUUAAGAGUAUAUUCUAAUGGUGCUGAAAACAAAUUAAGACAGGCUUCAAAUCAAAUGUACUUUGCAAUAAAGACUUUAGUGAAUGCAACUUCAAAUGACCAAUAAUGCACGGUAGCAGUACAUUAAUUUUGACUUCAAGGCAUUAAUUCGUAUUUUAUCCAUUACACAACAGAAUAUAUAUAAAUAUCCUUAUAAAAAAUAUAUAUGAUAUUUAUAGGUAACAGCUUUCUUCUUAAGCAAAGCAGCCAAGUAAGACUACAAAAUCUAUACCAAACAGAAUAUCUACUAGGACAAAUUUGGAUAAUUAUUUCCAACACUUAAAUUGAUUGGGCUUAGGUUAAAGUAUUCUUCAACUCCUAGUCAGUUUUAGUUGGGCUCUUACCAAGGUUGUGACAUCUCGAAUCUAACCAAAAGUUUAUAUAAUAUUUAUAUAAUAAUUAUAAUUUAUAUUAUUAUGGACUCAUGCACAUUUUUCACAUGUGCCUACUCAAUGAGGAUACUCAUUUAUUAUGAAAAAUGAUUAUUUGAAAACCCUUUUUAGGUUUUUUAGAGUGAACAUUUAUUUAAAAAAAAAAAAAAAACACAAUAAGAAAAAAAGAAGAGAAAAACCUUAUAUAACUCCUUAUUUGAAAAAAAGAAAAAGAAAAAAGACAAGUUCAUAAACCAAGAUUGAGUUAAAAGUCAAAUUACCUACUGAGAAAAUACGACGAUAAGUCAUACAAAACAACCCUCUAAGCUUAUAUACCUAUAAUCUUUACUAAGCAAAUGAACUGAAUUAUGACGAUUAAAUAAUUGAUUAUGGAUACUCAAGAAAAGAAAAACACAAUUAUAAAACAAGUCAUGGUGUUUGUUAUGUUACAAAAAUGUAAAAAAACAAAUGAUAAGAGAAUUUGCAUAAGUUGAUUUACGAAACUAAUUAAAAACAUGGGUUUAAUUAUUUCUAAAUUCAAAGGAUUAAAAAAGUUAUUUCAAUUUGAUGAUUUCAAUCGAUUUUAAGUACAAAAGAAAGUUUUGAUUUCAUUUUUUUUUUAAAGAAAAAAAUGCUUCAAAUUAUUCUAUUUAUAAAGAAAUGAUUUUUAUUUACUUUUUCUUAAAAAAAAAAAAUAUAAUUUACACAAAUUUUAUUUACCUUAACAUUCCUUUUUGAUUUUUAUGCAAAAGAGAAUACUUUUAUAAUUUUUGCUACAACAUGAUUUUUACAAUUUUAUUUUAAAAGAAAGUAUCCAAAUCUAAUCUUAUGUGCAAGAGAAUCUUUUUACAAAUUAUUUAGGAAAAGGAUUUUUAAAAAUUUAUUUACAAUUUUAUUUAAAAAAAUAUUUACAAAUUACUUUAAAAAAGAUUUGUACAAAUUUAUUAACAAAAAAUAAAUAUUCAGAUCCAAUUUUAUUUACAGAAAAAAAAAGAUUUUUUUUUAUAGUUUUUAUUGAAAAUAAGACUUUUACAAUUUUAUUUAAUUAGUAUGAAAAUCCAAUGUCAUUUUAUUAAUACUAGAAAAAAUUUAUUAUUAUUUUUAUUAAGACAUGAUUUUUAAAAUGUCAUUUACAAAAAAAAAAAAAAAAAAAAAAAGUUUACAAUUUUAUUUUAAAAAAUAUUUUGCAAUUUUUUUAAAAAAAAUGGUUUCAAUGUUUUAUUUAAAACAAAUUGCUUUUUAGAUUUUAUUUUAAAAAAUGAUUUUCACAAGUUAAAAAAAAAUUAUAGUUUUAUUUUUUUACAAAAAAUAAUGAAUUUCCAAAUGUAUUUAAAAUUUAUUUAAAAAUGGAUUUUAUAGUUUUAUUUAGAAAAACACUUUAUUGUUUUAUUUCAAUCUUAUUGUUUAUUUUUUUCUUUAAAAAAAAAAGUUCAAAUUUCUCUCUCUUUCUCCCUCUCUCUGUCCAUACGCUCAUUAAUUUUGAUGUUAAGGUAUCAGCCCAAUUGACAUGAUUUAUACUGACUUAGUCUUUUGGUCUAAUAGGUAACUUAAUGUAAUAUAGGAGGUCAUGAAGGUGAACUGUGAACCUUACUGAUAUUACGCAAACCCUACCAUUUAUUUAUAAUAUUGUUGUCAUAAUAUUGAAAUAUGGGAAAUUUUAAUAGACCAGACAGACACCAAUAGACCAAAGCCACCAAGCAAGAAUUGAAGAAACCAGAAAGCGUUUGUUCCAAACAUAGUAUACUGUAGAACAUGAAACAGAAGCUAGAGUAUACUAUCUUUAUUUGUGUCACAUAUAUCUCCACUCUCAUAUUGGCACAAGGUCUAUGAGCAGCAUUGAAAUAUUAUUUUUUGUCACUUCUCCAGGAUGUGUGAAUAUAUCAUUGUGGCUCUUGUACAUCACAUCUCCUGAUCGAGCAAAAUUGAGAAGACGACUAAGGAGAAGCAUUGGAACUGCAGUAGGUCUGAGGCACUCUUCAUUUAUAUCCUUCCAUGCAUUCUCGAUUUGUUUGUGAAACUCAUCAUAUGCUUGCUGCUCCGACACACCAUGUUGCUUCAUGUAACAUUCGAUGCUUGAUGCAAUAUGCUCUCCCUCUUGCUCAAAUUGCAGAAAUAGAUAGUAAUAGAAGGUGUUAAAAAGAAAUUGAUAUACAUUAGAUUUUCUUUAUCUUUAAGGGAUUGAUAUCCAAGUAUCAGUAGAAAGUGUUGUUUCAUUGUACCUUGUGGGAAGCCAUGUCAUCCAUGAGCCUAAUGAUUAUGUAGGUAGCUCUAACAAUCUUAGGGUUUUGUAGCAGCCAAUCAAAGACUUCCUUGGUUGCAGUCUCUCUCAUGCCAAUAAAAGACAUGAUUGUUAAUCUUCAAAUUGAUAAAUGGUAGUUUUUUCAUUCAUUCUUUCAUUCAUUCAUGUACAGAAUAUAUAUAGAGGGUAAUCACCAUUCUAAGAAUGUGAAAGAAUGAUACAAGGAAAUAAUGAUAUAAGGAAAUAACAACUAAUAUCCUAAUAUCUCAACAUUCUUAAUAUCUCUACUUUCCUAAUAUCUAAACAUUCCUAAUAUCUCAACACUGAAUGAUAUAAGAAAAGAAUGAUAUAAGGAAAACAUUCAUAAUAUCUCAACACUCCCCCUCAAGUUGGUGCAUAGAUGUCACACAUGCCCAACUUGUCUAAAAAAUUUGAGAACACUUGAUUUGAGACAGCUUUGGUGAGGACAUCGGCCAAUUGAUCUUUUGAUCAAAUCUUACGCAAUUCCACAAUCUUAUCAUCCAACUUUUCCUUAAUGAAAAAUCUAUCCACAUCGACAUGCUUUAUACGAUCAUGUUGUACUGGAUUAUGAGCAAUGUCACAUGCGACUUUAUUGUCACAAAACAAUCGGAUUGGUUGCCUAGAUAGGUAACCUAAAUCUUGUAAGAGGAGUCUUAGCCAUAAUGCCUCACAAAGUCCUAGAGCCAUACCUUUAAAUUCCGUUUCUACACUUAAACAAGCGACGACAUUCUGUUUCUUACUUUUCCAUGUCACAAGAUUACCACCUACAAAGGUAAAGUAACCAGAUAUAGAUCGCCUAUCAUCCACUGCACCGGCCCAAUCAGCAUUAAUAUAUACUUCUAUACUCUGAUGAUCAACAUUUUUAGCGAACAAAAUUCCCCUCCUAGGAGCAUUCUUCAAAUACCUCAAAAUACGCAUGACUGCAUUCAUAUGUUGCUCUCCAGGAUUAUGCAUGUAUUGACUCACUACACUCAAUGCAUAAGCAAGAUCUAGUAUUGUAUGAGCUAAGUACAUUAAUCUCCCCACAAGUCUCUGGUAUCUUCCCUUAUCGGUUGAUACUUGAUUAGGCUCAACACAUAAUUUCAGACCUUCUUCUAUUGGUGUAUUAAUAAGUUGACAUCCCGACAUUCUAGUCUCCUGUAAAAGAUCUAAAACAUACUUUCUUUGAGACAGAAAAAUUCCUUCACUUAAUCGAGAAACUUCAAUCCCAAGAAAGUAUUUCAGAGAACCUAAAUCUUUCAUUUCGAAUUCUAUAGAUAGAUAAUUUUGCAGAGCUUUUCUUUCUUUAGGAUCAUUUCCUUUAACUACCAUGUCAUCCACAUAUACAAUGAGUGUCAUAAUCUUACCAUGUUGCUUUUUCAGGAACAAAGUGUGAUUUGAAUUACUUUGACGAUAGCUAAAAGCUCUCAUUAACUUUGUGAACCUUCCAAACCAUGCUCUCGGGGAUUGCUUCAACCCAUACAAUAACUUCUUCAAUUUGCACACCUUCUGACAUUGCUUUUCUGACACCAUGCAUCCUGGUGGAAGAUCCAUAUAUACUUCUUCAGAUCACUCGCCAUACAGAAAGGCAUUUUUGAUAUCGAACUGUUGUAAUGGCCAAUCUAGGUUUGCAGCUAAAGACAGUAAUACUCGAACUGUGUUGAUCUUAGCUACAGGUGCAAAUGCCUCUGUGUAGUCAAUUCCAUAAAUUUGAGUGUACCCUUUUGCUACUAAUCUUGCUUUAUCGUUCAAUACUACCAUCUGCCUUGUACUUCACAGUAUAGAUCCAACGACACCUAACUGGUUUCUUUCCUGGUGGACAUUCUACAAGGUCCCUUGUUUCAUUCUUCUGCAAUGAUUUCAUCUCUUCAUUCAUGACUGCUUUCCACCUUGGAUUAGCUAAGGCUUCCUGCACACUGUUAGGAAUAGCUACAGUAGAUAAUUGAUUUACAAAUGACUUAUUUGAUUCAGACAAAUGAUGGUUAGACACAUAGUUGCUCAUGGGAUAUUUGACUUUGGUAGACAAUUUAGGUUCAUAUGUGGGUUUAGGAAUACCUCUAUUAUGACGGUAUGGUAACCGUUUCAUGAAUAGAUCAGGUUCCAAAUUAAGAACACCCUCAACAGACGAUGAUUGGUUUGGUAUUUCAGUGAAGACAUCUUCGGACCCAAAUUGUUGACCACUCAUAUCCAACUCACCCGCUUCCUGGUUCACUAGUUCAGAUUGUCCAGAUUCAUCCUCCUCAGAGAUAUGAUAAUCAUAAUUGAGAGUUUGAAUUUCCUUAUGGUACUCCCCCUGAAGUUCAGACUCAGAUGAAAAAUGCAUCAAAUCUUCAUGAAACACCGCAUCCAUUGUAAUAUACAUUCAUUGAGUUGGAGGAUGAUAACAUCAAUAUCCCUUUUUGUGUAAUGCAUAUCCAACAAACACACAUUGCAAUGCAUGGGAAGUUAACUUGGUGCAUUGGUGUUUGUGUAGAUGCACAAAUGCCACGCAACCAAAAACACGAGGAGGUAGAUUUGGGGUAGUUGGGACAACUACGACAUUAGUAAGAGCUUGGAGAGGUGUUUGGAAGUUAAUUGAGCUGGAAGGAAGUCGAUUGAUCAACUAUGCAGCAGAUGUGAUUGCUUCUCCCCAAUAAGAUAUCGAUGUUUUUGCUGCUAUCAAGUAAGCACAGACAACCUCUAACAAGUGCCGAUUUUUUCGUUCAGCACAACCUAAGCCUUACUCUUUCAAGGGAAUGUUCCUAAGUCCUAUUGGGGAGAAGUUGUUCUUACUACCACAUACAUGAUAAAUAGAAUUCCGUCACGAGUUUUAGACAACAAAAGCCUCGUAGAGAUACUUAAGAGUUUCUAUCCACACUUCAGAACCUCAAAUGGGCUCACUCCUAGGGUAUUUGGGUGCACUGCAUUUGUUCAUGUCCACAGCCAACAUAGAGACAAGCUAGACCCCCGAGUCAUAAAAAUUGUCUUUCUUGGUUACUCAUCCACUCAAAAAGGAUACAAGUGUUACAAUCCCACAACAAAAAUUUUUUACAUCUCUGCAGAUGUCACCUUCACAGAAAAUAAACCUUUUUUCCCAAAGUCCUAUUUUUAGGGGGAGAUUUCAAUGAUAGAAGAUAGUCCUGAGUCCUUUGAACCUCUUGACCUUCCUCAUGUCUCAACCCAUGGUGAUGAAAUACCUAAGUCAUCCGAGUCAAUCACACUUGAGUCACCCAAUUUUACCACUAAACCCGUGUCAUCUAAUGUUCCAGCCAGUGUCACUCACAAUUUUCCAUAGUUUCCUAAGGUGUAUUCAAGGGAAAAGGCCAUUCCAGAACAAAAGUAUGUCCAAAAAUCCAACUUAGACCCUGGGAAUGAAAUCACGCUAAGAUCAGACCCACCUUUACAUACACAACCUGGUGAAACUUCUACUAACUCAACCUAGACCUAGACCUUCCCAUUGCUAUCAGAAAAGGCACCAGAGAAUGCACUAAUUGACCACUCUAUCCACUAUCACACUAUGUGUCUCUUAAGCACCUAUCACUAGCCCACAAAAAUUUAAUUGUGAGUCUAAACACCACUAUCAUCCCUAACACUGUUUCUAAGGCAUUGACAAAAAGGGAAUGAAAUGAUGCUAUGAGAGAGGAGAUGAGUGCCUUAGAAAAGAAUAAAACAUGGGAGAUUGUUGAAAGACCGAAAGGGAAAAACAUUGUUGAUUGCAAGUGGAUUUUCACACUGAAAUAUAAGACUGAUGGAUCUCUUGAGAGACAUAAAGCAAGAUUAGUAGCCAAAGGGUACACUCAAACUUAUGGAGUAGAUUAUCAGGAGACUUUUGCUCCAGUUGCAAAAAUAAAUGCUAUAAGAAUCCUACUGUCAUUGGCUGCCCACUACAAUUUGGAACUCCUAUAGUAUGAUGUUAAGAAUGCAUUUCUUCAUGAUGAUUUAGAUGAAGAGAUUUACAUGAACAUCCCCCCGAGAUUUGAGGGAAACACGGGUAAUAAGGUGUGCAAGCUAAAAAAGGCCCUUUAUGGGCUAAAACAAUCUCCUAGGGCUUGGUUUGGGAGAUUUGCAAAAGUCAUGAAAGAGUCUGGGUACAAACAAAGCCAAGGUGACCACACUCUCUUCAUUAAGCACUCGGUUGCAGGGGGAGUAACUGCUCUUCUAGUCUAUGUUGAUGACAUCAUAGUGACUGGAAAUGAUGAGAGAGAAAAACAUGAAGUGAAGCAGAGAUUAGCAAUAAAGUUUGAAAUAAAGGAACUAGGGAAACUAAAGUACUUCCUUGGUAUUGAGGUGGCAUAUUCCACACAAGGGAUCUUCAUCUCUCAACAAAAAGUAUGUGAAUGAUUUAUUGGCAGAAACAGGGAAGAUUGGGUGUAAACCAGUGUCUACCCCAAUGGAUCCAAACCACAAGUUGGGAGAAGCUAAAGAAGAACUAGUGGUGGAUAAAGAAUGUACCAGAGGCUGGUUGGUAGGCUCAUAUACCUUGUUCACACUUGGCCAGACAUCGCCUACUCGGUGAGCAUGAUCAGUCAAUUCAUGCAUGCUACAAGAGAACCUCAUCUUCAAGCUGCUUAUAGGGUGCUGCAUUACUUGAAAGGCAACCUCGGGAAAGGAAUUUUGUUCAAGAAGAACAAUACUCUUGCUCUAGAGUAUACACUGACGCUGACUAUGCAAGUUCCUUAGUGGAUCGAAGAUCAACUACAGGGUAUUGUACUUUUCUUGGAGGUAAUUAGGUAACAUGGAGAAGUAAAAAGUAGAAUGUGGUAGCAAAAUCGUCUGUAGAAUCAAAGUUUAGGGUCAUUGCUCAAGGGUUGUGUGAACUACUUUGGCUGAAGAUUAUUCUAGAUGAUUUGAGAAUCAAGUGGGAUGGUCCUAUGAAACUCUAUUGUGAUAACAAGUCAACUAUCAAUAUUGCUCAUAACCCUAUACUACACGAUAGGACAAAACAAAAUAAGAUCGAUAGGCAUUUCAUCAAAGAAAAAUUGGAGAAAGGAGUAGUGUGUAUGUCCUAUGUUGCAUCAGAACAUCAAUUAGUUGAUAUCCUAACAAAAGGGCUGAACAGUUCAAUGUUUCACAGUCUUGUAUUCAAGCUGGGAAUGGAAGACAUCUAUUCCUCAGCUUGAGGGGGAGUGUUGAGCUAUAAAUAGAUAGGAGAAUUAUUUUCCUAUUAUGUUAGUUUCCUAUUUAUGUAAAUAGAUAGUUUUAUUAGUUUCCUAAUUCUGUAAAUAGAUAGUUUUAUUAGUUUUCUAUUUCUAUAAAUAGAUAGUUUUAUGAUUUAGGAAUAAAUUAGUUUUCUAUUAUGUCUCUUGUUUUCUAUUUCUUCUCUUGUAAUCUUCUAUAUAAACUGUGUGUAUGGUCAAUCUAAGAGACAAAAAUUAUUAUUUUCCAUCCCAUAUUUCGUAUCAAGAUGCAUGCCAUAAAAAUGGUAAGAUGAACAACAACAAGCCAAGCAACAAAAAAAAAAAAAAAAUGGAGUUUUUCCACCUUGUCCUCAUUGCAAGAAGACAAAUCAUUCUCCACAAAAAUGUUGGUGGAGACCAGAUGUGAAAUGCAACAAGUGUGGUAAACAAGGACAUGUGAAGAGGAUUUGCAAAAAUCAACAACAAAAAGAAACUAGUGCAACAAUUGACUAUUGUCAAGAGGAGCAAUUAUUUGCAGCAACGUGUUUUGCUAAUAAAAGCACCUCUGAAAGCUAGCUUGUGGAUAGUAGUUGUACAAACCACAUGACAAAUAAUCAAGAUCUCUUUAGAGAACUUGAUAGAACAACUAUUUCCAAAGUCAGAAUUGGAAAUGGUGAGUAUAUUCCAGUUAAGGGCAAAUGAACGGUUGCUAUCAAAAGCCAAAUAGGUUUGAAACUCAUUUAUGAUGUUUUGUUUAUGCUUGACGUUGACCAAAACUUACUCAGUGUUGGACAGCUCGUUGAGAAAUGAUUUAAAGUUUAUUUUGAAGAUAGGAAUUGCAUUAUCAAGGAUGUUGAAGGCAAAGAGGUGUUUAACAUAAAAAUGAAGGGCACGAGUUUUGCCUUGAAUUUACUAUAAGAUGAGCAUGCUGCUAUUUUACAACAAUAUAGCACAACAAUGCUUUGGCACAGAAGGCUUGGGCACUUUCAUCAUGAUGUUGUGCUCUACAUGAAGAAAAAUAAAAUAGCUGAAAGACUUCCCGACUUAGAAAAAGAUCUUCCUAUAACUGCUACUUGUCAAUAUGGGAAGCAAACUAAACUUUCCUUUCCAAAGAAAACAUCCUAGAGAGCAACCCAAAAAUUGCAACUAGUGCAUACUGAUAUUGGUGGACCUCAAAAGACGUCAUCCUUGAAAGGGAAUGUAGGCAUUGUUCACCAGCUCACUGCACCAUAUAAUCCACAACAAAAUGGAGUCGUAAAGAGAAAAAAUAGAACGAUUUUGGAGAUAACAAAAUGCCUUCUGCAUGAAAAAGAUCUACCUAAAGUUUUUUGGGCUGAAGCUACAAGUACAGUAGUAUAUUUGCUUAACAAAUUGCCAACAAAAACGUUAAAGAAGCAGACCCCUUUUGAAGUUUGGUUUGAGUUUCUACGUGGAAGACUUGGAGUUUGCAUCUACUAAGUCAAGAAGGAGUGUUGAAUUUUGACCUAGUAUCUACUAGAAUUUGAAUUUUGAAGUUAAAUAUUGCAGUUGGAGUCUUGCACAAAAUCUAUAACAUCCAAAUAUUUUCUUGUUUUUAUUUGGUCAAGAUUUGGUUUCUAUUUUAUAGGAAGUAGUUGUUCAUCAUCUAGUAGCUUGAUUUUAUGCUAUUCUAAUGUCAUUUCAGUUACAAGCUCAUGUAUAAAUUCAACACUCUUCAUCAAUAAAAUGUGUGUUCCAGCAACCCAAAAUAUAUAUUCUGCAUAAGUGUUUAAAUCUUAGACCAACACAUCCUCGUCACUAGUAGUUGUGCCUCUCAGGUUACCUUUUUUAUCUCUCAGCUCAGCUCCACCUUUGCUCUUCAUGAUCUUGGUUCCCUUUACUAUUUCUUUGGCAUUGGGGUUUCUCAUAGUACUGAUUCUCUUCAUCUCUGCCAACAAAAAUAUGUGAAUGACCUGCUCACUCGUACUGCCAUAACUGAUGCUAAACUUGUUCUUACAUUGGGUUCCUUGGCCAAACCUCUCUCUCUCACUGACGGUGAUCUACUUCAUAUCAUAACAUUGUUGGCGCAUUACAGUAUGUUACUGUUACAUGUCCAAACCUUUCUUUUGCAGUUAACAAGGUAUGCCAGUUUAUGGCUUCCCAACGACUACCCACUAGCUAGCUUUCAAGAAUAUAAAAAGUAGUUAAAAAUAAAAUAAAAAUAUAGACUUAAAAUAAAAAAUAAAUUAAAAAUGAAUAAUUAAAAAUUUUAAAAAUGAUAAAUAUUUUUUUUUUUUUUAAAGUUUUCAAAAAAAUCUCAGAUAUUUUCAGAUAUAUCGGCAAUGUAUCCGAUAUAUCUCUAAUAUUUUGAUAGACUUCCUCUAUUGCUUUGUGCGUCACUUCACACUCGAUUUUUUCGCCGAUUUAUCGAUUUCAAAUUAACCGAAAUAUCAACAUAUUUCGGGGAUUUUUCUGAUAUUCCUCCGUUCAAUAAUGUUGCUUAAUAUCCUUUUAGGGUAGUCCGAUAUCCGAUAUAUUGGCGAAAUAUCACCGAUAAAAACCGAUUUUUCAAUCCAUGCUUAAUAGUGGGUUUCCCUUUUGUUUGGCCUCUUGUAGACCCCCAUUUUGGGGCUCGGUUUUUUUUAUCUCUAUUUUCUUUGUAGGUGUCACCACCCCAGGGAGCCAUGCGUCGCCUCUUUGGUGGUUGAUAGGGAAUCAACAUUGCUUUUCGGGGACCUAUGGUAGGUUGACACGUGGAAGAAUAUUCUGGAGAGCUAAUUUCCGUUAUGGGGGAGCAUAUGAGAGAGGAUAUUCUGCAGGCAUUUUGAUUCUCACAUGUGCAUGAUCACUUUGAGUAUUCAUUGAUUUCCGCAUCAAUUGUCACAUCAGCUUCAUUUUAUUUGUAGAGACCCGACUUUAGGGACUUAGAGGGGUGCUACGGUCUUUACCGUACCUUCCCGAUAAGUAAUCUGACCCCCGAGCUCAAUCCAGUUUUUCACGGACCACCUUUUCCAAAUAAGGAGUCACACUUAGGGUUUUCUUUCUUAUUUUAUUUACCCUUUAAAAAUAAAACAAAAUUAAGUGGCGACUCCAAGUCAUUUUUCUUAAUCAGUAAAAUCAUUUUCAAAAUAAAAAUUGAGCUCGCCAUCGAGUGAAAAACGCAUUAGCUGAAAUGCGGGGUCCACACCUCUGUUUUUUUUAUAAAAAAAAAAAAAAAUCCUUUCCCAUUCUAUGGCCUUGAGUGAGCAUUACGUAUUUCAACUAUUUUGACAUGUUCAAAAUAAAAUACUAAGAAUUUAAAGGGAAUUUGUUCGACAAGUACUUUUUUUUUAACAUAUUUAUUUAUACAUUAUUUAGUUUAGGUUGCAUUAUUCUAUGUAAAUAAUUUAUUGGGUAUGGGAAUUAUUUUUAUAAAUGGCUGAGUAGAUUCAAUUUUAGAUAUUUAUUUAUUGAUCAUGAAAAAUAUUUAUUAAAACAUGGUUUAACAACCAUGCGAUGGAAUCAACCUAUUAAAAAAAAUAAACUAAUACUAUAUUAUUUUAACUUAAAUUAUUUCUUGAUGGUAGCAAUGUUGAAAAAACAAAUAUCAAUAAAGACUAAUCUUAACGAGAAAAUAGUAAUUAACAUAAUUUUAUAUUAACUUGUAAAAUUGGGUCAACAUAUAAAUAUAUUAAUUGUAACAAGAAGACCUACAUUGAUAAUGAAACGUCAAUAUUAGUCUAUAUUGCCAACUUUGAAAUAUUAAUAUAUGUAUAUAGCAUAUGUUUUCAUGAUUAGGAAUUAGAGAAAAUUUUGUAGAAGAUUUUUCCAAAUUUGAAAAUAACUAUGGAAGAAAUUCAACUUAAACACGUUUCUUUGUGGAAGAGUUGCAUGUCUACUCAAGUCUCAGCAUGUUCCCUAGCCCAAAUUUCUAAACCCAAAAAUCACCCUGUGGCAAGCUUGAAGGUAAUUCAAUGAAAAUAUGCUUAAAGCUCAACGGCUAAUUUACUUAUUUGGAAGUCAUUUUUCUCUAUGUGUUGGAUGAUAAAAUUUGUUGGUCUAGGUUACACGUUCCUGCAAAGAAGAGCAGACGGAGGAUCUGAAAAAUGAAUUGAAACUGGAAUUAAUACGUAGUGUUAUUAUAUAUCGAUGGAAAUUAGUUUAAAGUUGGAUAUAUUAAUACUUAGGAUGUUUGGUAAAACUUAAUACUUAUUAUUUAAUUAUUUGAGUUGACUUUAAAUUAAAUUAUACUUAAAUUACUUACUUAAAACUUAUUACUUUAAGUAUUAAGAUAUAAAAUUAACUUAAAGUUUAUUUAAAAUCAUUAAGUUGACAUAUUUAUUCUUAUAAAUUAUAAUUAGAAUAGAAAAAGUUGAGUUUAUAGAGUUGUAAAAGAGAUCAUGAAGGUAAUUAAGACAAAUAAAGAUAAAAAGAUAAAAUGAAAAUAUAAAAUUAAAAAUAAAUUAAUUAUUUUUACUUAUUAUUUAAAGUUAUUUUUUUUACUUUAAAUCAUAUUAUCAAGUUAUUUUAUUAAAUAUGCUUAAUUUACUUAAUGACUUAAAUUAAGUUAUUAAAUUAUUUUAAGUUAUUAAGUUGAUUUAUCAAAUUUCUACUUAUUGAAUACAAAUAUAGAAGGAAAUUAGGAAAGCAAAGUAGAUGGGUUAUUAGGUGAAAGCUUAUCAAAUCCGCCUAUCAACAUAUCACACUUUUACCAAAAACCCACCUCAUGCCAAGCCUAUAAGUUGUCAAGUCCUUAUGAUCCAACAACUUUCUUAUGGUUCCCACACGGAUUUCUAUUGUUAUCAAAACAAAAAGUUUAUAAUAAAAUAUAUAUAUAUAUAUAUAUAUAUAUAUAUAUAUAUAUAUAUAUUAUAAUUCAUAAAUAAUCUGACAAUUAAAUAAAAAGAUAAACUCAUUUGUGGAAUAUAAUUAAUAAAAAAAAAAGAGAAGUGUUAAGAGUUUUAAAUUAUUAUUAUUUUAUAUUUUUUAUAUUUUAAAUAAAUAUAAUUAAAAUAAUGGAUAAAAAAUGUGCACUUUGUACCUUCAACCUAUAAGAGUUGUAAUAUUUUCAAGUUGGUAUUCUUUAACAUAAGUCAAAUUCUAACUUAUUCAACUUUGACAAUUUUAACCUAAUCCUCAUAUUGGUACAAAUUAGACUAUUCUACCUUAUUUAAGUUUUAGUCCUAAAAAAAUCAUGAGAAUUAUGGACCGAAUGAUGUAUAUUAAAUUUCUAAGAUUCAUAUUUUAAAAUUAAUAAAAUUGAAGUAUUUUCCUUCUGGAGAUUAUUUAUUAUGAUUUAUCUUUACUUUAAUUAAUUAAUUAAUAUAUAUAUAUAUAUAUAUAUAUAUAUUUCAUUGGUAGAAUUGUCCUUAAUGGCCUUUGUACAUAGAGUACAUUCCUGGUCAUAAGAAUACGUGUCAAAUAUAAAUAUGCUUUUCAAAUUUAAUCAUUCUUAUUAUAAGUUUAUUAUUAUUAUUAUUAUUUUAUUAUAUACCUUGUAAAAAUAAAAGUUAUGAUCUUACGUAAGGUCGCAAUUUGAAGUUCAAGUUCAUUAAACUGUGCAGAGUUUAGCUUUCUAUAUAUAUAUAUAAAGAAUCAAUUCCAUCAAUUCAUUAUUUUUUAAGAAUUGAAAAUUACAUAAAUAUUGAUGGUUAUAUUUUACAAAAACAUUGAAACAAAACAAUAAUAUAUUAUUAAAGUUGUUUUACUAAAUAAAAUAAUAUAAUCAUCGUUAUAUAUAUUCUUGUACUUUGUUUAUUAACAAUUUUAUUAUAUUUUCAUUUUAACUUAAGAUAAAGACAAAGGGUUGAAUUGAAAAUUUUAAUUUGCAUAAUUUAAUUAAUUUGAAAAGAAUUUUAAAUUGAGAAUUUGAAAAACAAAUUCCAAAUAAUAAAAAUAAUUUGGAAAUGAAUUUUAAAUUAAGGAUUUAAAAUUUAAAAUUUGCAAAAGGAAAUUUUUUAUAAAUCUUUUCUAAUUUUAAAUAUGAAAUAUUUCCAAAUCUUUUUAAAACUCUUAAGUUUCUAAAUUGUUUUUCAUAAAAUAUAAUCUUUAAAUUAAUUGCAACUAUAUAAAGUUUUCUCCUAUAUAUAUCCUACCUAAAUGUAUAUUUGAUGACGGUCUGACUUGUUUUUCUAUUCUUAAUCUCUAAAGAAAGAAUUCAUUACAAGUACCUACAUCCCCUCAGAAGCUUAGAGGAGUUAGAGCAUUUGGAGGUACUACAUUGUGGAUGUGGAUUAAGGUGUAGGUUCUAGCUAGUGAAUCAUUAAGGUAAAACGGUUAUUAAAUAUGUGUACUUUAAUUUCAAAUAGUGGAUUAUAAAUUAGAGGUUUUAAAUCUUGUGAUUUUUUAUGCCCACAAUUAGCAUUGAUAUUUUCAAAUUAAAAUUUCUUGUGUCCCUUAUUUGAUUAUUUUUAUUAUUUUGAUUAUCCCUAUUAUCUCUUAGUUUAAAUUGAGUUAAUAUUAUUUAACUCUUAUAUUAUUUUCUUUAAAAAUCACCCCACUCUCAAUGUCAUCCUCUUGGACAAAAGCGUGUAUAUAUAUAUAUAUAAUUCACAAAUCUUGAAAAUAUAUUUAAUAUUAAAAUAUCAUUCCAUGUAAUUUGGAAGUAUUCAAAGAUGUAAAAGAUAUGAUAAUAUAUGUAUAAUUAUUUUUUAUUUAAAAAUAUUAAUAAUUACAUUUGCAACUUUAUUUUGUCCUCAUUAUUUAAUUAAUAUACAAAAAGAUAUGGGAAUAGAAUUAUCAAAAGAAUUGUCAUAAUAAAGCUUUAUAUUCUUCAUAAUAAGUUAAAUUAAGGUGAUAUUUAUUUAUUUUACUUAAAUCUAAAUAAAAAUUAAUUUAACUUAAUUGUAAAUAUAACUUAAUAGAAUUAAUUAUUAUAUUUUUUUGUUUUUUAUAAUUUUAUUUUUGUUAAGCGUUAAAUAUUAAUUGGGUGAGAGUCCUACUAAGGUUGUGCUUUGACUUAUUCAAAAAAUUAUUUUUAGUAAUGAGCAAAAAGUUAAAUAUUUUACUUUUAUCUAUUCAUUAAAAAAAUCUUAAAAAUUAAUUUUUUUUUUGUUUUAUUUAAAAUAGUGAAUGGAGUUUGAGUCGAAUUUUAAUUAUUUGGUAAAAUAAUAAAAUUAGUUUUUUAUUUAAAAGAAAAAAUAAAGGUAAGUCAAAGAUAUAAAGAUAAUUAUUUUAUUUUAAAUAAGAAAGAUUCAAAUAAAUAAAAAAAGAAAAAGUUAAUGAGCUACAAAUUUUAGGAUUAAUUGAUUAAAAUGGGUGAAAAUAUCUCAAAUUUGUAAAACUAAUCUCUUCCAUUUUUUAACUUAAAGAGUAACACUUGUUUGACAUAAAUACCCUUCAACAUUUUCAUUAUUUACAUAUGUAUUUUAAAAGAAAAUGUAAUUUUUGUAAGAAAAAAGUGAGAGUAUUCUUAUGUAUUUUUUGGAUGAAAAAAAAUGGUUUGCAAUUUGAUAUUUCUUUUGUCCUUUUUAAUCGGUUAUCCCCAAAUUUUUUUUACGGAAAAUACAAAUUCUAAAAAUAUUUGGUUUUAUUGCUAUUUUUAAAUUUAAAUAUAUUUUUACCUUAAUUAUAUUUUUAUUUCAAAAUAAUUGAUGAUGAUUUAGUUGAAUUCUAACAUUUAAUGGAGUUUUAGUUGAAUUCUAACACUAUAAUAUAAAGUGACCCGAUAAAAUUAUAAAAUCAAUUUUAUUUAAAAAUAAAUAAAGUUGAGUUAAAAAUAGUAUUAAAUAAAUUAAAUUUUAAAAAUAAAAUUUAAUAGUUUUACCUUAAAUAAAAAAUAUUAAAAGAAAAAAUAAUUAGAUAGAUAGGCUUUAAAUUUUAUUAAGAGAAACAUAAAUUUUUUUUUUUAAAAUUGUUUUUAUUUAUUUUCAAUUUUAAAAUUUUAUUUCUAUUUUUUAUUUAAAUGUAUUUUCAAAUUUUAUCUAAAAAUAGUUAAUAGAGUUUUGGUUGAAUUUUAAGACUAUAAGAUAAGCGAAUAGUUGAAAUUAUAAAAUGAAAUUUUUUAUUAAAAUGAAAAGAAAGUUAAGUUAAAGAUACUAUAAAUUAUGAUUAGAAGAAUGAAAAUCAAUAUAAAAAAAAAAAUGGUUUUAUCUUAAAUUAGAAAUAUUUAAAAAAAAAAAGAAUAAUGUAUUGAAAAAUAUAACUUUGUGGUAGAAGAGCAAUGACUAUGCUCUUUUGAAUACCCUAGUUUAUGUUCAUUUUUUAAAAUUUAAAAAGAAUAAACAUCUUUUAGAUAUUAACAAAAAUAAAUUUAAAUAGAUUCUUUAACAUAAAACCUAAAAAACAUUUGUUGUUGGCCAAAAAAUCCAACUAUGAGCCCUUUUAUGACAAGUGAAACUUCCAAAUCUUCUGAAGAGUUUUUUAUCUUAGUAUUAAAAUCUAAAAGCAGAAUAUUUAUACUAUGAGUUGUCUUUUUAACAACUAAUUUAUUUUAUUAAAUGUAAUAAUAUACAUUAAUAUGUUGUAAAUGAAAAGUAAUGAAUGACCACAUUGAUGGCCAUUAUGAACUCCAUUUACUCAUCUUUAAGAUGAGUAAUGGGAGUUCAUAUUAUGAAGCCUAUAAAAGGCUUCUUACCCCCCCAUGUAAAAGGAUCCCGAGAAAAGAAAGAAAGUUCUUCCUCUCAUUCUCUCUCUCUCUCUUUCUUUCACUUUCUCGAUUCUCUUAUUUGAUUCCUUCUUCCAUAUUAUAUAUCAAAGUAAGAUAUAUUUUAUCUCUACUACUUUGAUUUGCAUUAUAUUUGUCCUUGUUUUACAACACGUUAUCAGCACGAAUUGCUCUGAAGGUAAUUCUCGUAUCUUAAACUUGAAGUUAUUUAUAUAAAAUAAAAUUUUACAUAUUUAUAUUAUUGUUGAUUUGUUUUGUUACAUAUUGUUAAAAGUUAUAAACAAAUUAUUUGAUUUUGUUUAUAAUCAAAGUUAUACCAAUGCUAUCAAGUUAUUAUAACUGAUUUUAAUAAUAUUGUUUUGUCAUAUAUAUGAAGUUAUUUGACAAUGUCGAAUAUUACAAAACUCGAAUUUGUGGCACUUGACAUUUCGGGAAAGAACUAUCUAUCUUGGAUCCUUGAUGCUGAAUUACAUCUUGAUGCAAUGAACCUUGGAGCUACGAUCAAACAAGGAAAUCAAGCAUCCCUGCAGGAUCGCGCAAAAGCAUUGAUUUUCCUUCAUCAUCACCUCCAUGAAGGUUUAAAAAAUGAGUAUCUUACGGUAAAGGACCCUUUUACUCUAUGGAGUAAUUUGAAAGAAAGAUAUGACCACUAGAAAACUGUGAUUCUCCCAAAAGCUCGAUAUGAUUGGAUGCACCUAAGGUUGCAAGAUUUUAAAACUGUUAGUGAAUACAACUCUGCACUUUUCAAAAUCAGCUCUCAAUUAAAGCUGUGUGGAGAAAAAAUCACAGAGGAAGACAUGUUAGAGAAAACUUUUACUACGUUUCAUGCCUCGAAUGUGCUCCUGCAGCAGUAAUAUCGAGAGCGUAGAUUUACAAAAUAUUCUGAAUUAAUAUCAUGUCUUCUUGUUGCUGAACAAAAUAAUGAGCUUUUGAUGAGAAAUCACCAGUCUCGUCCAACUGGAUCUGAACCAUUCCCUGAAGUGAAUGCAAUAUCGUCCCAAACUCGUGGACGUGGACGAGGACGAGGACGUGGUCGUGGUCAUGGAAGAAAUCCUCGAUACCAUGGUUCUUAUAGUAAUAAUUCUCAUAAAAUGAAAGCCUCAUUGCACCACCAGAAGUGGAACAAUACUGAGACAAUACAAGAAAAUGGGAAGCGUUUACAAGAUAAACCUCCUAAGAACCAUGAGAAUAAUUGUUAUAUAUGUGGUAUGAAGGGGCAUUGGUCGCGUACCUGUCGUACGCCCAAACAUUUGGUCGACCUUUACCAAGCAUCAAUAAAAGCUAAAGGAAAAGAGAUAGAGAUGAACUUUACCGAUGGUGAUGGAUUGGACCUAACCUACUAUGACAUUGAUUUCUUUGGAGGUCCCAAUGAAAAACCAGACCAUUUGAUAAAUGAUGAAAAAAUUAACAUUGAUUGAUGUUACUCUAUAUAUACAAUAAUAUAUUAUUAUGUCUUAUAUUUACAUCUGAUUUACUUUGUUAUUUACAUUAUGCCUUUUUUUUUGUUAUAUCUGAAAUCCAUGUGUUAUUUGGUCUCAAGAUGAAUGAGGAUGAUGUAUGUCUCGCAGACUGUGCGACCACGCACACAAUUCUUCAAGAUAAAAGAUAUUUCCUUGAAUUGACAUUAAUAAAAGCUAAUGUAAGUACCAUAUCUGGUACUACAAACUUAGUUGAAGGCUCUGGAAGAGCAAACAUAACAUUGCCAAAUGGAACUAGAUUCCAUAUAAAUGACGCGUUAUAUUCUAGCAAAUCCAGAAGAAAUUUGCUCAGUUUUAAAGAUAUCCGCAGAAAUGGAUAUCAUAUUGAAACUAUGAAUGAAGAUAAUGUAGAAUAUCUUUACAUUACUUCCAUUAUAUCUGGCCAGAAGCUUAUAAUGGAAAAAUUGCCGGCUUUUUCCUCUGGGUUGUAUCAUACAACUAUAAAGCCUAUUGAAUCAUAUGUUGUCGUGAACCAGAAGUUCAACGACCCAAAAGUUUUUGUCCUUUGNNNNNNNNNNNNNNNNNNNNNNNUGGUCACAUGUUUGUCUCCUUUCUACACGUAACGUAGCCUUUGCUAGACUCCUUGCACAAAUAAUCAGAUUACGAGCACAAUUUCCAGAUUAUCCAAUUAAGACAAUACGUCUUGAUAAUGCUGGCGAAUUUACUUCUCAAACAUUCAUUAACUAUUGCAUGUCAGUAGGGAUAAAUAUUGAGCAUCCUGUUGCUCAUACUCAUACCCAGAAUGGUUUAGCAGAAUCCUUCAUCAAACGUCUCCAAUUAAUAGCUCGACCAUUACUAAUGAAAACCAAAUUACCUACUUCCGCCUAGGGACAUGCUAUUAUGCAUGCUGCAGCUUUAGUCCGUAUUCGACCUUCAACUUACCAUGAAUACUCCCCUUCACAACUUGUGCUUGGAAAACAACCAAAUAUCUCUCACUUACGAAUCUUUGGUUGUGCAGUAUAUGUACCAAUUGCACCUACACAACGCACUAAAAUGGGUCCCCAACGAAGACUUGGGGUUUAUGUAGGUUUUGAUUCUCCAUCUAUCAUAAGAUAUCUUGAACCUUUGACUGGAGAUGUUUUUACAGCCCGCUUUGCAGAUUGUCAUUUUAAUGAGAGUGUUUUCCCAUCAUUAGGGAGAGAAAAGUCGAUUCUUGAAGAACGACGAGAAAUUAGUUGGAAGACAUCUACUAUGACCCAUCUUGAUUCUCGUACAAAUCAAUGUGAACUAGAAGUUCAAAGGAUCAUUCAUUUGCAAAAUCUUGCAAAUCAAUUACCAGAUGCAUUCAUUGAUACAAAGAAAGUGACAAAGUCACAUAUCCCGGCUGCAAAUACUCCAGCACAGAUUGAUGUCCCUGUAGGACAGUUAACAAAUGAAUCUAAGAUACGCCUGAAGCGUGGUAGACCUGUCGGCUCAAAGGAUGUAACUCCCCGGAAGAGGAGAACCCAAGAAAAACUUGGCACUCUAGAAGAUGCCAUCAAAAUGACUGAUCAGUUUAAAAUUGAUAAAUCUAUAGCCCUAGAAGAGGCACAAAUAAUGCAGAAAGCCCCUGAAGAGGUAAAUAUUGAACAAGAAGCCCCCGAAGAGGCACAUAUUGAACAAGAAACCCCUGAAGAUCCACAUAUUGAACGAGAAGCCCCUGAAGAGGCACAGGUACCUGAAAAUUGUGAGAUCUCAGUAAGUUAUGUACAAACGGGAGAAAAAUGGGAUUGAAAUAAUAUUGUUAUUAACAAUAUUUUUGCUUUCCAAGUGACCUUUGAUAUCAUAAGAAAUGAUGAAGAUCCCGAACCACGAAAUGUGGAAGAAUGUCGACAUAGAAAUGAUUGGCCAAAAUGGAAAGAAGCUAUACAGGCAGAAUUAAACUCAUUAACAAAACGAGAAGUUUUUGGACCUGUAGUCCAAACACCUGAAGAUGUAAAGCCUGUUGGGUACAAAUGGGUAUUUGUACGAAAGCGCAAUGAGAAUAAUGAGAUCAUAAGAUAUAAAGCGCGAUUAGUGGCACAAGGUUUCUCGCAGAGACCUGGUAUUGACUACGAGGAAACAUAUUCUCCCGUCAUGGACGUAAUCACAUUUCGUUUCUUAAUUAGUUUGGCAGUCUCAAAAGGACUGGAUAUGCGUCUCAUGGAUGUUAUUACAUCAUAUUUAUACGGAUCCAUGGAUAAUGAUAUAUACAUGAAAAUCCCCAAAGGAUUUAAAUUGCCUGAUGCAAAUAAUACAAAGCCUCGUAGCAUGUACUCAAUCAAGUUACAACGAUCCUUGUAUGGAUUAAAGCAAUCUGGACGCAUGUGGUACAAUCGCCUUAGUGAAUACUUGCUAAAAGAAGGGUAUGUGAAUAACCCUAUAUGCCCAUGCAUCUUCAUUAAGAAAUCAGAAACCGGAUUUGCAAUUAUUGCAGUGUAUGUGGAUAACUUAAAUCUUGUUGGAACUCCUGAAGAGCUCACAAGAACAACAAAUUACUUGAAAAAGGAAUUUGAGAUGAAAGAUCUUGGAAAAACAAAAUUUUGUCUCGGCCUGCAGAUCGAGCAUUUUCCAAAUGGAAUUUUAGUACAUCAAUCAACAUACAUUAAGAAAGUUUUGAAGCGUUUUUAUAUGGAUAAAGCGCAUCCUUUAAGUUCUCCAAUGGUUGUCUGAUCACUUGAUGUGAAAAAAGACCCAUUUCGUCCUUGCGAAAAGGAUGAAGAGUUGCUUGGUCCUGAAGUACCAUAUCUUAGUGCUAUUGGUGCACUUAUGUAUCUUGCCAAUUGUACACGUCCAGACAUUGCUUUUUCUGUCAAUUUAUUAGCAAGAUACAGUUCCGCUCCAACUCGAAGACAUUGGAAUGGUAUCAAACAUAUAUUACGUUAUCUUCGCGGAACUACUGAUAUGGGUUUAUUUUACUCAAGGGAAUCAAAGCAACAAUUGCUUGGAUAUGCAGAUGCAGGAUAUCUUUCAGAUCCACAUAAAGGCAGGUCACAAACAGGGUAUGUGUUUAAUUGUAAUGGUACUGCUAUUUCAUGGAGAUCUGUCAAACAAACAAUGGUAGCCACAUCAUCAAAUCAUUCAGAAAUACUGGCAAUUCAUGAAGCAAGUCGUGAAUGUAUAUGGCUAAGAUCUAUGAUCCAACAUAUUCGGGAAUCAUGUGGACUCUCCUCUAUCAAAGGUGACCCGACAACAUUAUUUGAAGAUAAUGUUGCAUGCAUUGCACAAAUAACAGGGGGUUAUAUUAAAGGAGAUAGAACAAAACACAUUUCACCAAAAUUCUUUUAUACACAUGAACUCCAGAAGAGUGGUGAAAUUGAUGUGCAACAAAUACGCUCAAGUGAUAAUCUAGCAGAUUUAUUCACAAAAUCAUUGCCAACUUCAACAUUCAAGAAGUUAAUACACAGGAUUGGAAUGCGUCAACUCAAGGAUAUCGACAUGAGGGGGAGUAUGCUUGUAAAAGGGUGUUAGUGUACUAUACUCUUUUUUUCCUUCGUCCAGGUUUUGUCCUACUGAGUUUUACUGGCAAGGUUUUUAACGAGGCAGUCCUAAUAUGCCAAGAAAAGAAUAUUGUACUCUUUUUCCUUCGCUAGGUUUUUCCUAUAGGGUUUUUUACUAGCAAGGUUUUAAUGAGGCAUAUUCUUUUAAUAUGGUGGUCAUCCAAGGGGGAGUGUUGUAAAUGAAAAGUAAUGAAUGACCACAUUGAUGGCCAUUAUGAACUCCAUUUACUCAUCUUUAAGAUGAGUAAUGGGAGUUCAUAUUAUGAAGCCUAUAAAAGGCUUCUUACCCCCCAUGUAAAAGGAUCCCGAGAAAAGAAAGAAAACUCUUCCUCUCAUUCUCUCUCUCUCUCUUUCUUUCACUUUCUCAAUUCUCUUAUUUGAUUCCUUCUUCCAUAUUAUAUAUCAAAGUAAGAUAUAUUUUAUCUCUACUACUUUGAUUUGCAUUAUAUUUGUCCUUGUUUUACAACAAUAAAUUAUAGUUGAGUUUUUUUUUAAAAAAAAAUUGGCAUAUGCUUGUAUUACUUUGUUAGCUUGGAGGACGAAAAGCCUAUACAAAUAAUGAGUUGAAUGAAAUAAGAAGCGAGUAAAUUACAUGUAUCAAUGAAAUUGUAAUUUUUAGAUUACAGAAAUGAGUACAUGCAUUAAUAUAUAUGAAAAUAUAUAGUGAUUAUGAGAUUUGAGAAUCUAUUUAUUUUGAAUGAUGGGAAUUAAACUUCGUAAAAUUUCAAUGUAGAUCGGAAGUAAAUUUUUUUGUUACUUGAAAUAUUCACAACUUCUUUCCUGUAGUGAUGUUAUUUUGUAAUAGAACUUCCCUGGACAAUCGUUUUCAUGACUGGGAAUUGAAUUAGAGAAAAUUUUGUAGAAGAUUUUUUCAAAUUUGGAAAAAUCGCAUGUAGAAGAGUUGAAUUGGCAAGGAAAUCUACACACUCGUUGAACAGUCUAGGCCCACUUUUCCAAUCAGCCUAGCACGUUUUUUUGAAUUGAAUAACCACGGAUUGAUAUUGAUUGGAUCCAUUAUCAGUCAUUCAAUCCUAAAGCAUUCAUUUGUCAAACUCCAAGGAAUAUAGGUUUGGCCGAGUGAACAUUUCAAUACUAAACUUGUCCAAAUACAUUAAUUUGAUAUUUUUAGUAAAUAUGAUGCGCAAAAUGAAACCUACUUGGUCGAUAAUGACCUAGUGGUUAGGGCAAUCCCUCAAAAUUCAUAAAAAAAGAAGAUGCAAAUAGAAUCAAAUAGUAGUUCUUAUGUUAUUUUUUCAAAAAAUAGUUAUCGAGUCUGGAAAUGGGUAUUUUUCAUUUACGAAGCUUAAUCCUAUGGGAUUUAAUUUUCAUCGACUAGGAGAAUAAUUUGAUCCUAGCCACACCUAAUGUUAACGACUUGUUUAGGUAUUUUGAGUGAAGAGGACAACGGUUCCACACCGUGGGCCCCAAAACUGAACCAAAUCCCUCAUACUAUUCAACUACAUACUACCACUGCAUGCCAAGCCGUCUCUCUCAUACUUACCAAUUCUUUCUCUAGUCCAGAUUCUUAAACCCCAACAUUUGGGGUGACCAAUUUAUUACCUACACUCCCGAAGAAAGUUAAUUCAAUGAAAUUAUGUUUAUAUACUUAUUUGGAAGUUAUUUUUCUUAGGAUGAUAAAAUUUGCUGGUCUAGGUUACAAGUGCCUACAAAGAGGAGCAGAUUGAGGAUCUGAAAAAUGAAUUGAAAAUGGAAUUAUACAUGGUGUUGACUAUAAGAAUUUCAGUGGAUUCAAAAAGCCCCAAUUUAUACCUUAGCCGCCCCUAAUAGUUUCGGCUCUUGCUUCAUAAAUUUAGCCAAGGGACUCAUGAAAAAACUUUUUCUUUCACGUCAUCAAUCCCUUUCAUACACUACUUUCAACGUUUUUAUUUUACAUUAUCUUCAACAAUAGAACAUUUAGAAUAUCCUCUUGCGGAACAAGUUGCUCAUGCACUAAAGCAGCCCAUUAGAAAAGGUUUAGAGAGGCUAGAGGCAAGGUGGUAUAUGUCUAUCUACCAGGAUGAAACUUCGCAUGACACAACUUUACUAAAGCUGGCCAAGUUAGAUUUCAAUCUAGUGCAGUCCCUACACAAGGAGGAGCUAAGCAAUAUUGCUAGGUUUGCUUUCAAAUCACUAGCAGAUAUACCUAGUCACCUUCUCAUUUUACCAUGAGCUAAUUGUUUUAAUGAAUUUUAGGUGGUGGAAAGAAUUAGACUUUGCUACAAAGCUACCUUUUGCGAGAGAUAGAUUGGUGGAAGGCUACUUUUGGAUACUUGGGGUGUACUUUGAGCCUCAAUAUGUCCGGGCUAGACGAAUUCUAACCAAAACAAUUUCCAUGACAUCCAUUAUAGAUGAUAUAUAUGACGCAUAUGGCACAUUUGAAGAACUCGAGCUCUUCACCGAGGCCAUUGAGAGGUUUGAUUGAUGCAAAUUACCAACCUUCAUCAUUUAUACUGUAUGUGAUACUUAAAUCAAGCCUGGUUUUAUUUUCAGGUGGGAUAUUAAUAGCAUAGAUCACCUUCCAGAAUACAUGAAACACUGCUAUGUGGCACUCUUAGAUGUGUACAAAGAAAUUGAGGAAGAGAUGGAGAAAAAAGGAAACCAAUAUCGGGUUCAAUAUGCGAUAGAAGCGGUAGGACAUUCUGCAUCGACUUUGUUUUGUAUAGUAACAUAUCGUAAGGAUAUAGAUGUAACCUGAUUGAAUGUUUGACAGAUGAAAAACCUAGUUAGAGCUUAAUUUCAUGAGGCUAAAUGGUUCCAUGAAGGACGCAUACCAACAAUGGAAGAGUAUAUGAUAAUAAUAGGUUUAUCUUAGGGAAUCAAUAAUUAUUUUUGUAUGUUAUAAAGAUUACAUUUAUACUUGAAUUAUUUUUAAUUUAUUAUAUCAUAUAAAUUUUUUAUCUUAUAAUAUUGUAAAUUUUAAUUAUAUUAGGAAAUCAAUGAAUGCUUUUAUAACUAUUUAAAUGAUGUUAGUUAUGAGAUAAUUUUAUUUUAUUAUUGUUUUUUUACCUUAUUUACUUGUACCUAUUUUUUAAUAAUUUACAUAAUAUUUUUAUAAUUUUUAAAAUUUUCUAAUUAUCAUAUUUUUUUGUAUAUGACACUUAAAUCAAGCCUGGUUUUAUUUUCUGGUGGGAUGUUAACAGCAUAGAUCACCUUCCAGAAUACAUGAAACACUGCUAUGUGGCACUCUUAGAUGUGUACAAAGAAAUUGAGGAAGAGAUGGAGAAAGAAGGAAACCAAUAUCGGGUUCAAAAUGCGAUAGAAGCAGUAGGACAUUCUGCAUUGACUUUGUUUUGUAUAGUAACAUAUCGUAAGGAGAUAGAUGUAACUUGAUUGAAUGUUUGACAGAUGAAAAACCUAGUUAGAGCUUAUUUUCAUGAGGCUAAAUGGUUCCAUGAAGGAAGCAUACCAACAAUGGAAGAGUAUAUGGGGAUAGCACUGGUAACCUCAGGUUACUACAUGCUUACAACCAUGUCUUUCAUUGGUAUGGGAGAAAUUGUAACAAAGGAGGCCUUUGAUUGGGUGAUUAGUGACCCUAAGAUUAUCACAGCAUCAGCUGUAAUUUGCAGGCUCACGGAUGACAUCAGUUCAUAUAAGGUAUUGUGAAUAUAGUAUUUCUUGUUAAGCUAUAAUUUGACCUUGACCUUAAAGCUCAAUCAAUUAAACAUAUUUAUUGUACUCAUUUGUGCGAUUCUUUUUCUUGGUAUCCAUGAUUAAUUAACAAAGGUAUUGUUUUUUUUUUUUUGGAAAAAAAAAAAGAGAAGUUCAAAUUUAUUUUUUUCCUCUCUCUCUCUCUCUCUCCCUCCACACGCUCAUUAAUUUUAAUGUUAAGAUAUCAGCCCAAUUGACUUGAUUUAUAUUAACUUAAAACUUUUGUUCUAAUAGGUACCUUCAUAUAACGGUAAAGCCUUGAUUUUUAUAGGAGGUCAUGGAGGUGAACUGUGAACCUUACUGAUGUGUACCCAAACCAUACCAUUUAUUUAUAAUAUUGUCAUCAUAAUAUUUAAAUAUGGGACAUUUUAUGCAUUCAUUAUGUAGAUAUCCCUUUGUAAUAUACAUUCGUUGAGUUGGAGGAUGGUAACAUCGAUAUCCCUUUUUGUGUAAUGCAUAUCCAACAAACACACAUUGCAAUGCAUGGGAAGUUAACUUGGUGCGUUGGUGUUUAUGUAGAUGCACAAAUGCCACGCAACCAAAAACACGAGGAGGUAGAUUUGGGACAGUUGGGACAACUACGGCAUUAGUAAGAGUUUGGAGAGGUGUUUGGAAGUUAAUUGAGCUGGAAGGUACCCGAUUGAUCAAGUAUGCGGCAUGACUCGUGCCCAAUUGGUGUCUCAGCUGAUUUGUGUUCAGCUGGUGCUCCUUGAUUGAGGAAGUGAUCAACAAAAUUUAUACCUAUAACACCAUACACUAGGGUAGCAAAUACAAAGCUACUAUAGUAUAGUGGCUCUAAGGAUCGUUCACUGGGAAUGAUGAACAAGCAAUCAAGGAUACCAAUUCCAAGUGAAUUGGUUUUGUUUCAUUUCACGGUUAGCUUAAGGAAUAAAACACAAACUUUGAUUGGUAAAGGUUUAGACUUAAACUAACUAACUUAACAGAAGUUUGGAAUAAUUUAGGAAGAAAAGCAUUCCUUGGAGAAUUAGGUUCACUGGGGUGGUUCCUCAUGCAAAAGACAUAGCUCCGGUCAGAUGGUUCAUUUCCUCGCAUUAGAGAUUCAACUUAGAGUCAAUUCUCUAACCGGUGAUGUACAGAGACUCCUUCAAUUAGAUUUCACUUUAAUUCUCUCACUGAUACAACUUGCAAUGGUUCAUGCCUCUCACGAGCACUUACCAUUCAAGGUGAUCUUUAACCUUGGAUUCCCCUUCACAAACUCGCAAGAGAUAACUAAUGGAUGUCUCCUAGGAGUCCAAAAGCUUACCAAGUGUUGGUAAUUCCAGAAAAUCCUACCUUGAAGUCACCUACCAAAGGCUCGCAAGGGGUAAACUAGUGCAUUUCCACGGUUAGAAAUCACUUGCCUUACCAAGUGUUGGCCCAGGUGACUCCAAAGUGUUUUAAGUUAACUAAAAACAUUGAAAUCACUAAAGGAUUUCACUUCCUCUUCAUUACUAGCUAAAACCACAAAGCUUUGCAUUCUUGCACUUGGAACCUUCCCCGGCAACCUUAGCUCCAAGGAAUUGGAGGUUUAGUUACUCAUUCUCUGGGGAAAACUCCUCAGAGAAUUCAUAACUUAGAAAUAAAAUGAAAAUAUAAAGUGAGAAGGUAAGGCAGUAGAAAGAAAAGACUUUUACUUGCUUACCAAAAAACGAUUACAGAAGGAACUCCUCUCUGAGAACAUGCUCUCGAGAGGUAUUUAUAUUAAAGCAAUAUAAAACUAAUUCUUACACUGAUAUUUGGUCUUUUUACUAACUUAAAAACUAAGGAAUCAUGUAAUUGGUGGUUUACAAGGAGUAUUUUGGAAUUUAGACAACAAAAAUCUAAUGGAAAAUAUCUCCCAAUGUCGGUAGCAAGCUUCGGGAGGCUUCAGGAGCCAUUUCGCAGGAGAAAAGUGGUGCCUGCGAAAUUUCGCAGACACCCAAGAGGGCUGCGAAAUUAUUUCGCAAGACCAAGCUAUCUUCACCAGGCUGCAAAGUUGGCUUCCAUCUUGAAGUUUCCAGCUCCCUUCUCGCGGCAUGGUUCGUGCAUCGUCAGAAGGAGAAACACCUUACUGUACAAAAGCGUUGCGAAAAUCUCGCAACAAAAGGCUGAUUCCGCAGCACUUUAGAGUGACUGGCUUGUAAUGGCUGCAACUUCUUCGUUUCAACUCCAAAUCGCGCACCGUUUGAAGCAUUGGAUUGUUGACUUCCUGAGCUUUGAAAUGGUAUAUAGCUUGCAUCAUUUGGACUUCAGAAAGUGCUCCAAAAGUGGCUGCUACGACUGUCAUCAAGAAUAGGCUUCAUGACUGAUCCUCUUUGCUUUUUCUCCUUGCAAUCCGGAUUCACUCUUGGCAAUUGAAUUCUAAGCUUUUCCCAUGAUUCCUCAUAGCUCUCCUCAUUCUUGACUUGCUUUGGUGAUCAAAAUACUAACAAAAACACCAAAACUUGCACAAAGUGAUCAAAAUUGCUUUAAAGGAUCCUUAACAUGCCAAUUGAGUUAAAAGGCCUAAACUACUACUCAAAAGUGUUAAAAAGGAUUAAUUAAAGGCUAUCAAAUAGCACUUUUUGAGUAGUAAUCACGGCAGAUGUGAUUGCUUCUCCCCAAUAAGAUAUCGAUGUUUUUGCUGCUAUCAAGUAAGCACGAACAACCUCUAACAAGUGCCGAUUUUUUCGUUCAGCACAACCCGAGCCUUACUCUUUCAAGGGAAUGUUCCUAAGUCCUAUUGAGGAGAAGUUGUUCUUACUGCCACAUACAUGAUAAAUAGAAUUCCGUCACGAGUUUUAGAAAACAAAAGCCUCAUAGAGAUACUUAAGAGUUUCUAUCCACACUUCAGAACCUCAAAUGGGCUCACUCCUAGGGUAUUUGGGUGCACAACAUUUGUUCAUGUCCACAACCAACAUAGAGACAGCUAGACCCCCGAGUCAUAAAAUUUGUCUUUCUUGGUUACUUCAUCCACUAAAAAGGAAACAAAUGUACAUCCCNNNNNNNNNNNNNNNNNNNNNNNNNNNNNNNNNNNNNNNNNNNNNNNNNNNNNNNNNNNNNNNNNNNNNNNNNNNNNNNNNNNNNNNNNNNNNNNNNNNNUGUUACAAUCCCAUAACAAAAAUUUUUUACAUCUUUGCAGAUGUCACCUUCACAGAAAAUAAACCUUUUUUCCCAAAGUCCUCUUUUUAGGGGGAGAUUUCAAUGAUAGAAGAUAGUCCUGAGUCCUUUGAACCUCUUGACCUUCCUCAUGUCUCAACCCAUGGUGAUGAAAUACCUGAGUCAUCCGAGUCAAUCACACCUGAGUCACCCAAUUUUGCCACUAAACCCGUGUCAUCCCAUGUUCCAAGCAGUGUCACUCGCAAUUUUCCAUAGUUUCCUAAGGUGUAUUCAAGGGAAAAGGCCAUUCCAGAACAAAAGUAUGUCCAAGAAUCCAACUCAGACCCUGGGAAUGAAAUCACGCUAAGAUCAGACCCACCUUUACAUACACAACCUGGUGAAACUUCUACUAACUCAACAGACAACCUAGACCUAGACCUUCCCAUUGCUAUCAGAAGAGGCACCAAAGAAUGCACUAAUUGACCACUCUAUCCACUAUCACACUAUGUGUCUCUUAAGCACCUAUCACUAGCCCACAAAAAUUUCAUUGUGAGUCUAAACACCACUAUCAUCCCUAACACUGUUUCUAAGGCAUUGACAAAAAGGGAAUGAAAUGAUGCUAUGAGAGAGGAGAUGAGUGCAUUAGAAAAGAAUAAAACAUGGGAGAUUGUUGAAAGACCGAAAGGGAAAAACAUUGUUGAUUGCAAGUGGAUUUUCACACUGAAAUAUAAGACUGAUGGAUCUCUUGAGAGACAUAAAGCAAGAUUGGUAGCCAAAUGGUACACUCAAACUUAUGGAGUAGAUUAUCAGGAGACUUUUGCUCCAGUUGCAAAAAUAAAUACUAUGAGAAUCCUAGUCAUUGGCUGCCCACUACAAUUGGAAACUCCUAUAAUAUGAUGUUAAGAAUGCAUUUCUUCAUGAUGAUUUAGAUGAAGAGAUUUACAUGAACAUCCCCCCGGGAUUUGAGGGAAACACUGGUAAUAAGGUGUGCAAACUGAAAAAGGCCCUUUAUGGGCUAAAACAAUCUCUUAGGGCUUGGUUUGAGAGAUUUGCAAAAGUCAUGAAAGAGUCUGGGUACAAACAAAGCCAAGGUGACCACACUCUCUUCAUUAAGCACUCGGUUGCAGGGGGAGUAACUGCUCUUCUAGUCUAUGUUGAUGACAUCAUAGUGACUGGAAAUGAUGAGAGAGAAAAACAUGAAGUGAAGCAGAGAUUAGCAAUAAAGUUUGAGAUAAAGGAACUAGGGAAACUAAAGUACUUCCUUGGUAUUGAGGUGGCAUAUUCCACACAAGGGAUCUUCAUUUCUCAACAAAAGUAUGUGACUGAUUUAUUGGCAGAAACAGGGAAGAUUGGGUGUAAACCAGUCUCUACCCCCAAUGGAUCCAAACCACAAGUUGGGAAAAGCUAAAGAAAAACUAGUGUUGGAUAAAAGAAUGUACCAGAGGCUGGUUGGUAGGCUCAUAUACCUUGUUCACACUCGGCCAGACAUCGCCUACUCGGUGAGCAUGAUCAGUCAAUUCAUGCAUGAUACAAGAGAACCUCAUCUUCAAGCUGCUUAUAGGGUGCUACAUUACUUGAAAGGCAACCCCGGGAAAGGAAUUUUGUUCAGGAAGAACAAUACUCUUGCUCUAGAGCAUACACUAACACUGACUAUGCAAGUUCCUUAGUGGAUCGAAGAUCAACUACAGGGUAUUGUACUUUUCUUGGAGGUAAUCUGGUAACAUGGAGAAGUAAAAAGUAGAAUUUGGUAGCAAGAUCGUCUGUAGAAUCAAAGUUUAGGGUCAUUGCUCAAGGGUUGUGUGAACUACUUUGGCUGAAGAUUAUUCUAGAUGAUUUGAGAAUCAAGUGGGAUGGUCCUAUGAAACUCUAUUGUGAUAAUAAGUCAACUAUCAAUAUUGCUCAUAACCCUAUACUACACGAUAGGACAAAACAUAAUAAGAUCGAUAGGCAUUUCAUCAAAGAAAAAUUGGAGAAAGGAGUAGUGUGUAUGUCCUAUGUUGCAUCAGAACAUCAAUUAGUUGAUAUCCUAACAAAAGGGCUGAACAGUUCAAUGUUUCACAGUCUUGUAUUCAAGCUGGGAAUGGAAAACAUCUAUUCCUCAGCUUGAGGAGGAGUGUUGAGCUAUAAAUAGAUAGUAGAAUUAUUUUCCUAUUAUGUUAGUUUCCUAUUUAUGUAAAUAGAUAGUUUUAUUAGUUUCCUAAUUCUGUAAAUAGAUAGUUUUAUUACUUUCCUAUUUCUAUAAAUAGAUAGUUUUAUGAUUUAGGAAUAAAUUAGUUUUCUAUUAUGUCUCUUGUUUCCUAUUUCUUCUCUUGUAAUCUCCUAUAUAAACUGUGUAUGGUCAAUAUAAGAAACAAAAAUUAUUAUUUUCCAUCCCAUAUUUCGUAUCAAGAUGCAUGCCAUAAAAAUGGUAAGAUGAACAACAACAAGCCAAGCAACAAAAAAAAAAAAAAUGGAGUUUUUCCACCUUGUCCUCAUUGCAAGAAGACAAAUCAUUCUCCACAAAAAUGUUGGUGGAGACCAGAUGUGAAAUGCAACAAGUGUGGUAAACAAGGACAUGUGGAAAGGAUUUGCAAAAAUCAACAACAAAAAGAAACUAGUGCAGCAGUUGACUAUUGUCAGGAGGAGCAAUUAUUUGCAGCAACGUGUUUUGCUAAUAAAAGCACCUCUGAAAGCUAGCUUGUGGAUAGUAGUUGUACAAACCACAUGACAAAUAAUCAAGAUCUCUUUAGAGAACUUGAUAGAACAGCUAUUUCCUAAGUCAGAAUUGGAAAUGGUGAGUAUAUUCCAAUGAAGGGCAAAUGAACGGUUGCUAUCGAAAGCCAAAUAGGUUUGAAACUCAUUUAUGAUGUUUUGUUUGUGCCUGACGUUGACCAAAACUUACUCAGUGUUGGACAGCUCGUUGAGAAAUGAUUUAAAGUUUAUUUUGAAGAUAGGAAUUGCAUUAUCAAGGAAGCUGAAGGCAAAGAGGUGUUUAACAUAAAAAUGAAGGGCAAGAGUUUUGCCUUGAAUUUACUAGAAGAUGAGCAUGCUGUUGUUUUACAAUAAGAUAGAACAACAAUGCUUUGGCAUAGAAGGUUUGGGCACUUUCAUCAUGAUGUUGUGCUCUACAUGAAGAAAAAUCAAAUAGCUGAAAGACUUCCCGACUUAGAAAAAGAUCUUCCUAUAACUGCUACUUGUUAAUAUGGGAAGCAAACUAAACUUUCCUUUCCAAAGAAAACAUCCUAGAGAGCAACCCAAAAAUUGCAACUAGUGCAUACUGAUAUUGGUGGACCUCAAAAGACGUCAUCCUUGAAAGAGAAUGUAGGCAUUGUUCACCAACUCACUGCACCAUAUAAUCCACAACAAAAUAGAGUCGUGGAGAGGAAAAAUAGAACGAUUUUGGAGAUGACAAAAUGCCUUCUACAUGAAAAAGAUCUACCUAAAGUUUUUUGGGCUGAAGCUACAAGUACAGUAGUAUAUUUGCUGAACAAAUUGCCAACAAAAACGUUAAAGAAGCAGACCCCUUUCGAAGUUUGGUUUGAGUUUCUACGUGGAAGACUUGGAGUUUGCAUCUACUAAGUCAAGAAGGAGUGUUGAAUUUUGACCUAGUAUCUGCUAGAAUUUGAAUUUUGAAGUUAAAUAUUGCAGCUGGAGUCUUGCACAAAAUCUAUAACAUCCAAAUAUUUUUCUUGUUGUUAUUUGGUCAAGAUUUGGUUUCUAUUUUAUAGGAAGUAGUUGUUCAUCAUCUAGUAGCUUGAUUUUCUGCUAUUCUAAUGUCAUUUCAGUUACAAGCUCAUGUAUAAAUUCAACACUCUUCAUCAAUAAAAUGUGUGUUUCAGCAACCCAAAAUAUAUAUUCUGCAUAAGUGUUUAAAUCUUAGACCAACACAUCCUCGUCACUAGUAGUUGUGCCUCUCAGGUUACCUUUUUUAUCUCUCAGCUCAGCUCCACCUUUGCUCUUCGUGACCUUGGUUCCCUUUACUAUUUCUUUGGCAUUGGGGUUACUCAUAGUACUGAUUCUCUUCAUCUCUGCCAACAAAAAUAUGUGCAUGACUUGCUCACUCGUACUGCCAUAACUGAUGCUAAACUUGUUCUUACAUUGGGUUCCUUGGCCAAACCUCUCUCUCUCAUUGAUGGUGAUCUACUUAUAUCGCAACAUUGUUGGCGCAUUACAGUAUGUUACUGUUACAUGUCCAAACCUUUCUUUUGCCGUUAACAAGGUAUGCCAGUUUAUGGCUUCCCAACGACUACCCACUAACUAGAUGUCAAGAAUAUAAAAAGUAGUUAAAAAUAAAAUAAAAAUAUAGAUUUAAAAUAAAAAAUAAAAUAAAUAUGAAUAAUUAAAAAUUUUAAAAAUGAUAAAUAUUUUUUUUUAAAAAAAGUUUUCAAAAAAAUCUCAGAUAUUUUCAGAUAUAUCGGCAAUGUAUCCAAUAUAUCCGAUAUAUCGUCGAUAUAUCUCCAAUAUUUUGAUAGACUUCCUCUAUUGCUUCGCGCGUCGCUUCACACUCGAUUUUUUCGCUGAUUUAUCGAUUUCAAAUUAACCGAAAUGUCAACAUAUUUCGGGGAUUUUUUUGAUAUUCCUCUCGUUCGAUAAUGUUGCUUAAUAUCCUUUCAGGGUUGUCCGAUAUCCGAUAUAUUGGUGAAAUAUCAUCGAUAAAAACCGAUUUUUCAAUCCAUGCUUAAUAGUGGGUUUCCCUUUUGUUUGGCCUCUUGUAGACCCCCAUUUUGGGGCUCGGUUUUUUUUAUCUCUAUUUUCUUUGUAGGUGUCACCAUCCCAGAGAGCCAUGUGUCGCCUCUUUGGUGGUUGAUAGGGAAUCAACAUUGCUUUUCGGGGACUUAUGGUAGGUUGACACGUGGAAGAAUAUUCUGGAGAGCUGAUUUCCAUUAUGGGGGAGCAUAUGAGAGAGGAUAUUCUACAGGCAUUUUGAUUCUCACAUGUGCAUGAUCACCUUGAGUAUUCAUUGAUUUUGGCAUCAAUUGUCACAUAAACUUCAUUUUAUUAGUAGAGACCCGACUUUAAGGACUUAGAGGGGUGCUACGGUCUUUACCGUACCUUCCCGAUAAAUAAUUUGACCCCCGAACUCGAUCCGGUUUUUCACGGACCACCUUUUCCAAAUAAGGAGUCACACUUAGGAUUUUCUUUCUUAUUUUAUUUACCCUUUAAAAAUAAAACAAAAUUAAGUGGCGACUCCAAGUCAUUUUUUUUAAUCAGUAAAAUCAUUUUCAAAAUAAAAAUCGAGCUCACUAUCGAGUGAAAAACGCAUUAGCCGAAAUACGGGGUCCACACCUCUAUUUAUUUAAAAAAAAAAAAAAAAAUCCUUUCCCAUUCUAUGGCCUUGAGUGAGCAUUAUGUAUUUCAACUAUUUUGACAUGUUCAAAAUAAAUUACUAAGAAUUUAAAGGGAAUUUGUUCGACAAGUACUUUUUUUUUAACAUAUUUAUUUAUACAUUAUUUAGUUUAGGUUGCAUUAUUCUAUGUAAAUAAUUUAUUGGGUAUGGGAAUUACUUUUAUAAAUGGCUGAGUAGAUUCAAUUUUAGAUAUUUAUUUAUUGAGCAUGAAAAUUAUUUAUUAAAACAUGGUUUAACGACCAUGCGAUGGAAUCAACCUGUUAAAAAAAAUAAACUAAUACUAUAUUAUUUUAACUUAAAUUAUUUCUUGAUUGUAGCAAUGUUGAAAAAACAAAUAUCAAUAAAAGACUAACCUUAACGGGAAAAUAGUAAUUAACAUAAUUUUAUAUUGACUUGUAAAAUUGGGUCAACAUAUAAAUAUAUUAAUUGUAACAAGAAGACCUACAUUGAUAAUGAAACGUCAAUAUUAGUCUAUAUUGCCAACUUUGAAAUAUUAAUAUAUGUAUAUAGCAGAUGUUUUCAUGAUUAGGAAUUAGAGAAAAUUUUGUAGAAGAUUUUUCCAAAUUUGAAAAUAACUAUGGAAGAAAUUCAACUUAAACACGUUUCUUUGUGGAAGAGUUGCAUUGGCAAGGAAAGCUACACACAUUCAUUGAACAGUCUUAGGCCCAUUUUUCCAAGCAGCCUAGCAAGUUGUCUGAAUUAAACCCCUAUGGAUUGAAAUUGAUUGGAUCCAUUACCCGUCAUGCAUUCAAUCCCAAAGCGUUGAUUAUUCAAACUCUAUGAAAUAUAGGUUUCGCUGAGUAGAGGAGUUCAAAUACAUUAAAUCGAUAUUUUAAGUAAAUAUAAUGUGGAAAAUGAAACCUACUAGAUCGAUAAUGACCACAUUACAAACCGAUCUCCAGGCUAGUUAGGGCAAUCCCCUCAAAAUUCAAAAAAUAAUUAAGUAAAUAAAAUGUAAUUAUUAAUAUUUUUAAAAAGUAGUUAUGGACUCGAAAUGGGUAUUUUUUAUAUAUGAAGUUUAAUCAAGUAGUAGUUCUUAUCCUAGCCACACCUAAUAUUAACAACUUGUUAGGAUAUUCUGAUUGAAUUUAGCCAAAGAGACUCUAGAAGGCCAAUAUUUUUCUUAUCAUCACUCUCUUCCGAGCACAACUCUUCCACACCAUGGGCCCCAAAACUAAACCAAAUUCCACAUACUUUUUAACUACAUACAGCCACUGCAUUCCAGGCUGUCUCUCAUACUCACCAAUUCAUCACUGAAGGUAUAGGACUGUUCUAUCAUUGUUCCAAGUAAUUGGCAUCUCUACUCAAGUCUCAGCAUGUUCCCUAGCCCAAAUUUCUAAACCCAAAAAUCACCCUGUGGCAAGCUUGAAGGUAAUUCAAUGAAAAUAUGCUUAAAGCUCAACGGCUAAUUUACUUAUUUGGAAGUCAUUUUUCUUUAUGUGUUGGAUGAUAAAAUUUGUUGGUCUAGGUUACACGUUCCUGCAAAGAAGAGCAGACGGAGGAUCUGAAAAAUGAAUUGAAACUGGAAUUAAUACAUAGUGUUGAUUAUAUAUUGAUGGAAAUUAGUUUAAAGUUGGAUAUAUUAAUUACUUAGGGAUGUUUGGUAAAACUUAAUACUUAUUAUUUAAUUAUUUGAGUUGACUUUAAAUUAAAUUAUACUUAAAUUACUGACUUAAAACUUAUUAUUUUAAGUAUUAAGAUAUAAAAUUAACUUAAAGUUUAUUUAAAAUCAUUAAGUUGACAUAUUUAUUCUUAUAAAUUAUAAUUAGAAUAGAAAAGGUUGAGUAACAAUAGAACUUAUAGAAUUGUAAAAGAGAUCAUGAAGGUAAUUAAGACAAAUAAAGAUAAAAAGAUAAAAUAAAAAUAUAGAAUUAAAAAUAAAUUAAUUAUUUUUACUUAUUAUUUAAAGUUAUUUUUUACUUUAAAUCAUAUUAUUAAGUUAUUUUAUUAAAUAUACUUAAUUUACUUAAUGACUUAAAUUAAGUUAUUAAAUCAUUUUAAGUUAUUAAAUUGAUUAAUCAAAUUCCUACUUAUUGAAUACAAAUAUAGAAGGAAAUUAGGAAAGCAAAGUAGAUGGGUUAUUAGGUGAAAGCUUAUCAAAUCCGCCUAUCAACAUAUCACACUUUUACCAAAAACCCACCUCAUGCCAAGCCUAUAAGUUGUCAAGUCCUUAUGAUCCAACAACUUUCUUAUGGUUCCCACACGGGUUUCUAUUGUUAUCAAAACAAAAAGUUAUAAUAAAAUAUAUAUAUAUAUAUAUAUAUAUAUAUAUAUAUAUAUAUAUAUAUAUAUAUAUAUAUAUUAUAAUUCAUAGAUAAUCUGACAAUUAAAUAAAAAGAUAAACUCAUUUGUGGAAUAUAAUUAAUAAAAAAAAAAAGAGAAGUGUUAAGAGUUUUAAAUUAUUAUUAUUUUAUUAACAAUUUUAUUAUAUUUUCAUUUUAACUUAAGAAUCUAUUGAAAUAGUGACUUACUCUCUAUUAAAGAUUCAAAGUUAUUUUUCAAUCAAUCGAACUAUCAGGUAAGUAUGAAAAUGAUCGAGUAAAGACAAGUUAAUUGUCACAAAUAAGUGUGAAAAGGAUCGAGUAAAGACAAAGGGUUGAAUUGAAAAUUUUAAUUUGCAUAAAAUGUUUUAAUUAAUUUGAAAAGAAUUUUAAAUUGAGAAUUUGAAAAAAAAAAUUCCAAAUAAUAAAAAUAAUUUGGAAAUGAAUUUUAAAUUAAGGAUUGAAAAUUUAAAAUUUGUAAAAGGAAAAUUUUUAUAAAUCUUUUCUAAUUUUAAAUAUGAAAUAUUUCCAAAUCUUUUUAAAACUCUUAAGUUUCUAAAUUGUUUUCCAUAAAAUAUAAUCUUUAAAUUAAUUGCAACUAUAUAAAGUUUUCUCCUAUAUAUAUCCUACCUAAAUGUAUAUUUGAUGAGGGUCUGACUUGUUUUUCCAUUCUUAAUCUCUAAAGAAAGAAUUCAUUACAAGUACCUACAUCCCUUCAUAAGCUUAGAGGAGUUAGAGCAUUUGGAGGUACUACAUUGUGGAUGUGGAUUAAGGUGUAGGUGCUAGCUAGUUAAUCAUUAAGGUAAAACGGUUAUUAAAUAUGUGUACUUUAAUUUCAAAUAGUGGAUUAUAAAGGGAGAAUUAUGUUUUGGGGGUAGAUGGGCCCCCAAAUUAACAAAAGGUCCAUGUAACUCUUUAAAUUGAGCCCAAGACCCAAUAAAAGUAUGAAAAUUGAGUUGAAGGAUAUCAUCCUUCAGUAUUUCCAAAAAUGUCAUUUGUUGAUUUUGAGAAAAAAAAAUUAAUAUUUUUGAAAAAUACUUUUAUAUAAUUUAAUAUUUUUUAUUUAAUUUAAUAUUUUUAAAAAAAUACUUUUAUGUAAUUUAAUAUUUUUUUAAAUACUUUUAUUUAAUUAAAUAUUUUUUAAAAAUAAAUUUAUUUAAUUUAAUAUUUUAAAAAAAUAUUUAAUUUAAUAUUUUUUAAAAUACUUUAAUUUAAUUUAAUAUUUUUGAAAAAAAAUUAUUUAAUUUAAUAUUUUUGAAAACUACUUUUAUUUAAUUUAGUAUUUUUGAAAAAAAAUUAUUGAAAAAAAAAUAUUUAACUUAAUUUUAUAAAAUAUUUUAUAUGUGUUCUUAAAGGGUAUACUUGUCCGUUACUAUUUCAUAUCCUUCAACUCAAUUUGAAGAGUUAUAUGGACCUUUUGUUAAUUUGGGGACCCAUCUACCCCCAAAACAUAAUUCUCCCGAUUAUAAAUUAGAGGUUUUAAAUCUUGUGAUUUUUUAUGCCCACAAUUAGCAUUGAUAUUUUCAAAUUAAAAUUUCUUGUGUCCCUUAUUUGAUUAUUUUUAUUAUUUUGAUCUUUAAUUAUUUUGAUUAUCCCUAUUAUCUCUUAGUUUAAAUUGAGUUAAUAUUAUUUAACUCUUAUAUUAUUAUCUUUAAAAAUCACCCCACUCUCAAUGUCAUCCUCUUGGACAAAAGCGUAUAUAUAUAUAUAUAUAUAUAUAUAUAUAUAUAUAUAUAUAUAUAUAUAUAUAUAUAUAUAUAUAUAUAUAUAUAAUUCACAAAUCUUGAAAAUAUAUUUAAUAUUAAAAUAUCAUUCCAUGUAAUUUGGAAGUAUUCAAAGAUGUAAAAGAUAUGAUAAUAUAUGUAUAAUUAUUUUUUAUUUAAAAAUCUUAAUAAUUACAUUUGCAACUUUAUUUUGUCCUCAUUAUUUAAUUAAUAUACAAAAAGAUAUGGGAAUAGAAUUAUCAAAAGAAUUGUCAUAAUAAAGCUUUAUAUUCUUAAUAAUAAGUUAAAUUAAGGUGGCAUUUAUUUAUUUUUACUUAAAUCUAAAUGAAAAUUAAUUUAACUUAAUUGUAAAUAUAACUUAAUAGAAUUAAUUAUUAUAUUUUUUUGUUUUUUAUAAUUUUAUUUUUGUUAAGCGUUAAAUAUUAAUUGGGUGAGAGUCCUACUAAGGUUGUGCUUUGACUGAUUCAAAAAAUUAUUUUUAGUAAUGAGCAAAAAGUUAAAUAUUUUACUUUUAUCUAUUCAUUAAAAAAAUCUUAAAAAUUAAAUUUUUUUUUUGUUUUAUUCAAAAUAGUGAAUGGAGUUUGAGUCGAAUUUUAAUUAUUUGGUAAAAUAAUAAAAUUAGUUUUUUAUUUAAAAGAAAAAAUAAAGGUAAGUCAAAGAUAUAAAGAUAAUUAUUUUAUUUUAAAUAAGAAAGAUUCAAAAAAAAAAAAAAAGAUAAAUGAGCUACAAAUUUUAGGAUUAAUUGAUUAAAAUGGAUGAAAAGAUUUCAAAUUUGUAAAACUAAUCUCUUCCAUUUUUUAACUUGAAAGUAACACUUGUUUGACAUAAAUACCCUUUAACAUUUUCAUUAUUUACAUAUGUAUUUUAAAAGAAAAUGUUAUUUUUGUAAGAAAAAAGUGAGAGUAUUCUUAUGUAUUUUUUGGAUGAAAAAAAAUGGUUUGCAAUUUGAUAUUUCUUUCGUCCUUUUUAAUCGGUUAUCCCCAAAUUUUUUUUACGGAAAAUACAAAUUCUAAAAAUAUUUGGUUUUAUUGCUAUUUUUAAAUUUAAAUAUAUUUUUACCUUAAUUAUAUUUUUAUUUCAAAAUAAUUGAUGAUGAUUUAGUUGAAUUCUAACAUUUAAUGGAGUUUUAGUUGAAUUCUAACACUAUAAUAUAAAGUGACCCGAUAAAAUUAUAAAAUCAAUUUUAUUUAAAAAUAAAUAAAGUUGAGUUAAAAAUAGUAUUAAAUGAAUUAAAAUUUAAAAAUAAAAAUGAAUAGUUUUACCUUAAAUAAAAAAUAUUAAAAGAAAAAAUAAUUAGAUAGAUAGGCUUUAAAUUUUAUUAAGAGAAACAUAAUUUUUUUUAAAAAAAUUGUUUUUAUUUAUUUUCAAUUUUAAAAUUUUAUUUCUAUUUUUUAUUUAAAUGUAUUGUCAAAUUUUAUCUAAAAAUAGUUAAUAGAGUUUUGGUUGAAUUUUAAGACUAUAAGAUAAGCGAAUAGUUGAAAUUAUAAAAUGAAAUUUUUUAUUAAAAUGAAAAGAAAGUUAAGUUAAAGAUACUAUAAAUUAUGAUUAGAAGAAUGAAAAUCAAUAUAAAAAAAAAGUGGUUUUAUCUUAAAUUAGAAAUACUAAAAAAAAAAAAAAGGAAUAAUGUAUUGAAAAAUAUAACUGUGGUAGAAGAGCAAUGACUAUGCUCUUUUGAAUACCCUAGUUUAUGUUCAUUUUUUAAAAUUUAAAAAGAAUAAACAUCUUUUAGAUAUUAACAAAAAUAAAUUUAAAUAGAUUCUUAACAUAAAACCUAAAAAACAUUUGUUGUUGGCCAAAAAAUCCAACUAUGAGCCCUUUUAUGACAAGUGAAACUUCCAAAUCUUCUGAAGAGUUUUUUAUCUUAGUAUUAAAAUCUAAAAGCAGAAUAUUUAUACUAUGAGUUGCCUUUUUAACAACUAAUUUAUUUUAUUUAAUGUAAUAAUAUACAUUAAUAUAAAUUAUAGUUGAGUUUUUUUAUAAAAAAAAAUUGGCAUAUGCUUGUAUUACUUUGUUAGCUUGGAGGACGAAAAGCCUAUACAAAUAAUGAGUUGAAUGAAAUAAGAAGCGAGUAAAUUACAUGUAUCAAUGAAAUUGUAAUUUUUAGAUUACAGAAAUGAGUACAUGCAUUAAUAUAUAUGAAAAUAUAUAGUGAUUAUGAGAUUUGAGAAUCUAUUUAUUUUGAAUGAUGGGAAUUAAACUUCGUAAAAUUUCAAUGUAGAUCGGAAGUAAAUUUUUUUGUUACUUGAAAUAUUUACAACUUCUUUCCAGUAGUGAUGUUAUUUUGUAAUAGAACUUCCCUGGACAAUCGUUUUCAUGACUGGGAAUUGAAAUAGAGAAAAUUUUGUAGAAGAUUUUUUCAAAUUUGGAAAAAUCGCAUGUAGAAGAGUUGAAUUGGCAAGGAAAUCUACACUCAUUGAACAGUCUAUGCCCACUUUUCCAAUCAGCCUAGCACGUUUUUUUGAAUUGAAUAACCACGGAUUGAUAUUGAUUGGAUCCAUUAUCAGUCAUUCAAUCCUAAAACAUUCAUUUGUCAAACUCCAUGGAAUAUAGGUUUGGCCGAGUGGACAUUUCAAUACUAAACUUGUCCAAAUACAUUAAAUUGAUAUUUUUAGUAAAUAUGAUGCGCAAAAUGAAACCCACUAGGUCGAUAAUGACCUAGUGGUUAGGGCAAUCCCUCAAAAUUCAUAAAAAAAGAAGAAGCAAAUAGAAUCAAAUAGUAGUUCUUAUGUUAUUUUUUCAAAAAAUAGUUAUCGAGUCUGGAAAUGGGUAUUUUUCAUUUACGAAGCUUAAUCCUAUGGGAUUUAAUUUUCAUCGACUAGGAGAAUAAUUUGAUCCUAGCCACACCUAAUGUUAACGACUUGUUUAGGUAUUCUGAGUGAAGAGGACAACGGUUCCACACCGUGGGCCCCAAAACUAAACCAAAUCCCUCAUACUAUUCAACUACAUACUACCACUGCAUGCCAAGCCGUCUCUCUCAUACUUACCAAUUCUUUCUCUAGUCCAGAUUCUUAAACCCCAACAUUUGGGGUGACCAAUUUAUUACCUACACUCCCGAAGAAAGUUAAUUCAAUGAAAUUAUGUUUAUAUACUUAUUUGGAAGUUAUUUUUCUUAGGAUGAUAAAAUUUGCUGGUCUAGGUUACAAGUGCCUACAAAGAGGAGCAGAUUGAGGAUCUGAAAAAUGAAUUGAAAAUGGAAUUAUACAUUUUCAUGGACAAGGGAAAGGAACAAGGGAAAGUUGUGUUUUCAUGGACCAAUAUGGUAAUAAUAUUGUUUUUGGAACCCAGGUUUGUGAAAGUAGAAAAACAUCUGUUAAUGUGAAACUUAUAUCAGAUUCAUGCACUUUGAGCCGGUUAUAUUUUUUCUACAUAAAAAAUAAAAAUAAAUAAAAUACAAAAUAAAUCUAUUAGAAGGCGUCUGUCUAUUCUCUGCACCCUCACCGCCAAAGAGUAGAUGAGUUGGCGAGUGUGUUCGCUCCGGAGUCUUUACGCGCCGAAGAUGCCUCUUCUCCGAUCACCUCUGUUCUUCUUUGUUUGAAGCCGCCGACUGUUCGGUACCACGUGCUCCGUUUCGGGCACUAAGAAGAAGAACAAGGAGAAGGUGAUAGUGAUAUCCGGUCCCACCGGCGUCGGAAAGAGUAGGCUUGCAUUGGAGCUGGCGAAGCGCGUCAAUGGAGAAAUUAUCAGUGCGGACUCGGUCCAGGUAAGGCACCGAGUUCUUUUACCGUUUUCCUCUUGGAUUGCCCUCUGUUUGGUUGCCGAGAAAGAAAGGGAAGGACAAUGGGAAGGGAAUUAUGUCUUGUGUUGUUGAUUUGGGUGUUUAGGUUUUGUUUUUUGUUUUCUUGUUUGUUUUUUUUUUUUUCUCUUUCAUUUGUUUGGUUGCUGAGAAAAUAGAGGAUUCAGUCUUCUUUAGAAUGUUCUAUGCUUCUGUUUUUCAAUAGGAAGCUAAUGUUUAUGAAAAUUGUGACGAGGGGCUCAUGGAGAUAUGAUAAUGUUGGAGAAAAGUAGAUAAUCUAUAUAGAAAGUUCAAAACUUCAAGCAAAGUUACUCAAGGGACUAAACCUUUAGCAACAAUUUCUCCCAAGUAUUUUGUUGGUUAGUUACUCAAAAAGGUAAUUUUUUUAAGGGGGAAGAAAAUGACAAUUUGCAUUUUAUUUUUUGGUGAUAGGCAAAUGAGAAAAUAUUUAAAAGCUCCUAAAAGGAGCUGCAACAACUUACAGAUGAUGUAUACAGUAGUCACAUAGUUUAGUCAAGAAGAAGAUAAACAAAAGAAAAAUCCUCUCCUUACUCAAAACUUAUCCAAUCUACAAAGUCUAUCAUAGAUAUUGAGUGGUCCACCUUGUACAUUCUAACCCAAUUUACAAAGUAUAUAUAAAGUCGGAUUUGAUUGCUUGGUUUGACUGCUUAGCUUCAUUCAAAGCUCUCCCUUUUUUUUUUCUUCCAAAGAGUAGAAAAAAAGCAUAAGGGUAUAGUCCUCCAGCAUUUUUUUCAUUGCUUCCCCAUGGAAGAGCCAUGCAAACCCAAAAGGAUCCUUCUACUGAAAAACACAUCCCCAAAACCACUCCAAAGAGAAAAGGAUCAACUACCAAACAUAAUUGCUUUGGCACAGUAGAGAAGCAAGUAAUCUGUCAUUUCUUCCUCGCAUUUGCACAAAUAAACUUAUUAAGCAGAGUCCAUACCAUCUUUUUGGUGCCCAUGUGCUCCACACUACACCUGUUGGGAAAGCUCUCUAUCUCCCUUGGCCAAGGAAGAUUAAAGGGAUCUAAUUGAAAAAUUGCUGCUCUUGGACUCAUUUCAUCUCAAUUCGCCCUCCUUUUCCUUUUUAAUUGACAAUGAUUGCAAAUUCAAUUGGAAAAUCUCCACUUCAUCAAGCUCUCAAUCAUUAAACUGUCUUGAAAAGUGGUGGCUCCAUCCACCCUCUUUCCCAACUUGGUCCCACUCCUCCGCUACCCAUCCAUCUCUGUUGGAUGCAAUAGAGAAUAAGUUAGAGAAGACUUGCUUUUUAUUCCCUUCCACUCAUUUUUUAUGGUUUUCCACACCUCCACUCCAUACCCUUCUCUCAUCCUUCUUGAAGACCACCUGCUUCCUCUUCUCCGAACUUUCCUAUUAUGAUUUGUUUUGAUAAGGACUCCUUGUUAGUAACAAAUCUUCAAUCCUACUUACCAAGCAAGGCCUUGUUAAAGGUUGAAAGAUUGUGAAUACCAAGAUCCCCUUCCUUCCUUGCCAAGUAGACUGUAGUCUAAUCAAUAAAAUGAGGUCUUUUCUCUAGUGCACCUCCUCCUCAUAAAAUGUUUCUUUGGAUCUUCCUGAGUCUUGAAUUGACCUUUCUUGAAAUGACAAAAAGGAUAUAUAAAUUGGAAGGCUUAAUAAUGUGCUUUUAUCAAGGUAAGUCUCCCUUCGAAAUGUAUGGGUGGUAUGGAGUUAUCAUUAAGGUAUGCCUAGCAAUUUUUUUUUUUAAACCAUGUACAGACUCCAGCUACUGCUGCAACUAGUGCUCAAUGAACGCAACAGUGUCAGAGAUACAAUUCUGGCCGCAUGCCAUUUGUGACUUCAUAGUUCAUGAUAAGUUUCUUCCUAUCUGCUGCUACAUACCAAAAUGACCAAGGGUUGAUUCUAGUUUGUCCAAAAUUUAUUAAUUCAUAUCAUGUUGUGUGCUGAUGUGAUUUGUUCCAAUUGUAAAACCAUUAUUUAUGUUCUAUAUGUGAUGUAUCUGAUGAAGUAUUCCACUUCCCAUUGUAACAGUGGCAGUUGGGUUAUGCUGAAUAUGAGGACUUUAUGUACAAGAAUGACCAACAUGUAAGGGAAAGGAAGAGUACCUGGUGAUGCUGCUGCUGGAGCAUAUGGGACGCAGUAACAACAGUGUAAUAGGGCUGUUCAUUUUUCCUUCAAUAUUGUAAAGGAAGGGAGUAGGAACAUGGACAACACUCAGUAUUUGUUCUUUUAUUAUAGUUAAGGGUGCUGGUUAGUGUUGUAUUGGCGAUUGAUUGGACAACAACUAUGAUUGUAAGAUGUGAUCCAAAGUGAUAGGUUUAUUAUGGGGUAUGGUACUAAUUUCAUAAGAGAACAACAAACAUAGACUGUAACUUAUUUGUUUGUACACUGAUGCAGUUUCAGUUUAUCCUUCUAUACUCACAUUAGUAAAUUGUUUGACGGCUUUCCUUUCAUAUUUAGUUAUUGUGUAAGCUUUUACAUAGCAUCUUCUAUUAAUGUUAUUGGUAAGUUGGGAGGUUUGUUUGGUUUGAUUUACUACAUUAGAAACAGUUUGCUGGUAUACCAAUAGUUUGCAAUGGCGCCCUUCAAAUCCUGAUCUACCGGGGUUCAGGACUAUUGCUCAUCCUCAUUGGCAAGGGCUACUCAGGGUUCCUAAAUGAUUGUGCAUUUUGCUAAUUUUGUGUUUCAAACCAUGUACAGGUUGUUAUAGAAAAAAUAAAUGUGGUAGAAAACCAAUAAAUAUUUGCUUCGCAUGAUCACCUUCCAUAUCCAACCAAAACCAUCAUAACUUGACAUAACCAGAAAAAUGAGAAAACAACAGUAUGAUUAAAUAAAUACUGAGGGUGAAAAAUUGUCGGGAGAGCAAAAUUUAUCGAAUAUGGUUUAAGAUAGUGUCAUGCUGCAAUAAGUAAUGAAAUUAACUAAUAAAAAUCUGAAGCCACAGAAUGGCUACAUUUCUCGCAGGUGCGUUAAGGUAAUACUUGAGGUACAUUAAGGUAGUACCUGAAGACCAUUAAGGUAGUACCUUAUGUGCAUUAACGCAGUACCUGACAUUUCUUAUGAUUACAUAAGGUAUAGUUGGAGUAACCUAUAAGAACAUAACAAUGUCAUGCUGUAAUAGGUAAUGAAAUUAACUAAUAAAAAUCUGAAGCCACAGAAUGGCUACAUUUCUCGCAGGUGCGUUAAGGUAGUACCUGAGGUACAUUAAGGUAGUACUUGAAGACCAUUAAGGUAGUACCUUAUGUGCAUUAAGGUAGUACCUGAAAUUUCUUAUGAUUACAUCAGGUCGAUGGAGUCACCUAUGACAACAUAACAACGUCAUGCUACAAUAGGUAAUGAAAUGAACUAAUAAAAAUCUGAAGUCACAUAAUAGCUACAUUUCUCGCAGGUGCGUUAAGGUAGUACUUGAGGUACAUUAAGGUAGUACUUGAAGACCAUUACGGUAGUACCUUAAGUGCAUUAAGGUAGUACCUGAAAUUUCUUAUGAUUACAUAAGCUACCGAUGGAGUCGCCUAUGACAACAUAACAACGUCAUGCUACAAUAGGUAAUGAAAUGAACUAAUUGUGUUUGAAGUCAUAGAAGAGCUACAUUUCUCGCAGGUGCAUUAAGGUAGUACCAGAUGUACAUUAAUGUAGUACCUCAGGACCAUUAAGGUAGUACCUGAGGUGCAUUAAGGUAGUACAUGAAAUUUGUUAUGAUUACAUACGCCACCGAUGGAGUAACCUAUGAGAACAUAACAAUGUCAUGCUGCAAUGUGUAAUGAAAUGAACUAAUUGUGUCUUAAGUCACACAACAACAACAUUUCUCAAAUAUGCACUAAGAUAGUACCUGAUGUACAUUAAUAUAGUACCUCAAGACCAUUAAGGUGGUACAUGUUUUGCAUUAAGGUAGUACCUGAUGCGAUGAAACAAUUAUGUCUUCGUUGACAAAAGAUGUACACUACAAAUUCCAACAAACAUUACAAAUUCACAAACACUAACAACAAUUUCUACUAACCAACACAUAAUUUAUGCAUUUUAAUUUUUAUUAUUAUUAUAAUUUUUAUUUUUAUUCUCAAUAUAUAUGAUUGAAUUAUCAAGUUUUUCGUCAAUAUAUGAUAUUGCCUAAUUAUAUUCAUCAAUCUGAAUAAAUACAUAAGUUUUCCACCCAAUUUCUAAAUAUGUCCACAACAUUUUUCCAUUUCAUGAGUCUCCAAUACACAAAAAUAUUGAGAUCGAACAACCGCUCAUGCUAUCCAAAAUCGACAUUUGCCUCAACCUAUGCCCUCACCAAUGGAGGAAAAAUUGCAAAUACAACAACCACUCGAAAAUCACUCUUCUGCUCCAUUUUAAACAAAAAAAUUAUUAAAAAAACAACCCUAAAUACAAAUUAAUUACCUUCACAUUUGAUGUGAAGGUUACAGAAAAAUGUGAUCCAAUGAGAAGAACACGAGAUUUCUUCUUCAUGAACCCAAUAUAUCAGAGUUGUCGUUUCCAUUCUGAUUCGCUAUCCUAAACCAGAUUUUCAGUCAACACGUACCCGCCUCAAGCCGUCUUCUUAACUCGACCUUGUUUCAAUGAAGUGCUCCAUUUGGUUCUUCACAAUUACCACAGGCAACAAAAAUUUUGAUUCAGGUUUUCAAGUAAAGGUUUAUACUUUCAAAUGUGUGAAAUUUUGCAAAUUUUCACACCCUCUUCGAUCCGGAGGGGUGACGAAAUUGGGAUGAUCGGGUCCAAAUGGUUAGGACUUUGAGAGGAGAAGGGGCUGAAGAUAGAAAACUAGAUUGGAGUUUGGGAUUAAAGGCUUCAGAAAUUAAAUGAGAGAAAUUGUUGAAAUAUACAAGAUUCUCUGCUUUGCCUCGGUGACGGAGUGAAGACAGAUGAGAGGAAUGGCUGACAAAAUGAGAGAGAGGGAAGAAAGAACGGCUGAACGCUAGGGUUUUCUUGUGGGAACCUCUGCUUCGCCUCCAUGACAGAGUGUAGAAAGAUGAGAGGAAUGGGUACCAAAUGAGACAGAGGGAGGAACAACGGUCAGUCGCCUAGGGUGUUUUUUGGUGAGAUGGGCUGCUGACGUGGAUACCUGGAGGGGCAAGCUCGGUAGAAAAAACACAGCCGACUCAGAGUGCAUGAAUCUGAUAUAAGUUUCCACAUUAACAUAUGUUUUUCAUCUUUCACAAACCUGGGUUCCAAAAACAAUAUUAUUACCAUAUUGGCCCAUGAAAACACAACUUUCCCUUUUUUAUAUUAGUAUUAAAAUCUAAAAGCAAAAUAUAUAUAUAUAUAUAUAUAUAUAUAUAUAUAUCAUGAGUUACCUUUUUAAUAACUUAUUUAUUUUAUUUAAUGUAAUAAUAUACAUUAAUAUAAAUUAUAGUUGACUUGAGUUUUUUUUUUCUUUUUCUUUUUUAAUUUGGCAUAUGCGUGUAUUACUUUGUUAGCUUAGAGGACGAAAAACCUAUACAAAUAAUUAGUUGAAUGAAAUAAGAAGAAUGAAAUUGUAAUUUUUAGAUUACAAAAAUGAGUACAUACAUUAAUAUAUAUGAAAAUAUAUAGUGAUUAUGACAUUUGAGAACCUAUUUAUUGGAUCCAUUAUCAGUCAUUCAAUCCUAAGGCAUUCAUUUGUCGAACUCCAUGAAAUAUAGGUUUGGCCGAGUGGACAUUUCAAUACUAAACUUGUCCAAAUACAUUAAAUUGAUAUUUUUAGUAAAUGUGAUGCGCAAAAUGAAACCCACUAGGUCGAUAAUUGCCACAUUACAAACUGAUCUGCAGGCUAGUUAGGGCAAUCCCUCAAAAUUCAAAAAAAAAAAAAAAAAAAAAAAAAGAAAUAAAAAAGUGAAGCAAAUGUUAUUUUUUCAAAAAAUAAUUAUCGAGUCUGGAAAUGGUUAUUUUUCAUUUACGAAGUUUAAUCCUAUGGAAUUUAAUUUUCAUCGACUAGGAGAAUUAUUUGAUCGUAGCCACACCUAAUCUUAACGACUGUUCCACACUGUGGGCCCCAAAACUAAACCAAAUCCCUCCUGCUAUUCAACUACAUACAACCACUGCAUGCCAAGCUGUGUCUCUCAUACUUACCAAUUCUUUCUCUAGUCCAAAUUCCUAAACCCCAACAUUUGGGAUGACCAAUUUAUUACCUACACUCCUGAAGACAAGGUAAUUCAAUGAAAAUAUUUGGAAGUUAUUUUUCUUAAUUUGUUGGAUGAUAAAAUUUGUUGGUCUAGGUUACAAGUGCCUACAAAGAGGAGCAGAUUGAGAUCUGAAAAAUGAAUUGAAAAUGGAAUUAUACAUAGUGUUGACUAUAAGAAUUAGGUAUGCACAAAAUGACAAGGGACUCAAAAUUGGAUACAUUAAAUAAAAGGAAAAAGAAAGAAAAAACCCCAAUUUAUACCUUUUCCUUUCACGUCAUCAAUCCCUUUCCCUUUCACGUCAUCAAUCCCUUUCAUACAUUACUUUCAACAUUAUUGUUUUACAUUAUUUUCAACAAUAUACAAUUUCUGAAGGCCAUUGCUACCCUAUUAAUGCAAUGGAGCUUCCCAAGCUUUUGCACUCAUACUUACCAAGUCAGCUUUCAAAGUAGUGUUCUACUACCGUUCCAAAAAAUUAUCAUGGCGAGUCAAGUCUUAUCAAGCCCUCUAGGCCAAUUUUCUAAACUGGAAAAUCGUCCAGUGGCCAAUUAUCACCCUACCAUUUGGGGUGACCAGUUCAUAUCCUACACUCCUGAAGACGAGGUAAUUGAAUUAAAAUAUGUGUUAAAUCUUAUAUGGCUUAUAAAUGCCUAUAUAUUCGAAAGUUGCUUUUCUUAAUGUGUUGUUUAGUAAAAUUACUUGGUUGCCACAGGCAACACGUGCCUGCAAAGAGAAGCAGGUUGAAGAUCUGAAAGAGGAAAUUUGAAGGAAGCUAAUGAAUGCAGCUGGUAACACUUUCCAACAGCUGAAAUUUAUCGAUGCUGUGCAACGUCUUGGGGUGGCAUACCACUUUGAAAGAGAGAUAGAAGAAGUGUUACAACAUAUUUAUGAUAGCUAUCCUGAUGGUGAUGAUAUGGAAGGUGAUAUCUAUAAUGUUGCUCUUCAAUUUCGGUAACUAAGGCAAGCUGGGUUCAAUAUUUCAUGUGGUAAGAGCCCAAAGAAUGAUCAUGUGUGAGCUAAAAUCCAUCCUUCUCAUAAUUCCAAUCUUAUGUUUAAAUUAUGGUAUUUAUGUAGGCAUGUUCAAUGAGUUCAAGGAUGAAAAGGGUAACUUCAAGAAAGCUUUGGUCAGCGACGUAAGAGGCAUGCUGGGCUUGUAUGAGGCUGUGCAUCUCAGAGUUAAUGGAGAAGACAUACUGGAUGAAGCACUUGCUUUCACCACCACCCAUCUAAGGUCCAUGGUAGAACAUUUAGAAUAUCCUCUUGCGGAAGAAGUUGCUCAUGCACUAAAGCAGCCCAUUAGAAAAGGUUUAGAGAGGCUAGAGGCAAGGUGGUUUAUGUCUAUCUACUAGGAUGCACAACUCUACUAAAGCUGGCCAAGCUAGAUUUCAAUCUAGUGCAGUCCCUACACAAGGAGGAGCUAAGCAAUAUUGCUAGGUUUGCUUUCAAAUCACUAGCAGAUAUACCUAGUCACCUUCUCAUUUUACCAUGAGCUAAUUGUUUUAAUGAAUUUUAGGUGGUGGAAAGAAUUAGACUUUGCUACAAAGCUACCUUUUGCGCGAGAUAGAUUCGUGGAAGGCUACUUUUGGAUAUUUGGGGUGUACCAGGGUUCAAAGUAUUAGCCGAGUCCCAUACGACUCGACCGAGUCGUAUCUGCCUCGACACUUACCACGAUGAGUCCGAUACCAGGUACAAUCCUAUGCACUAACUCAACAUUAAAUCAGUAGGACUCAAUUGGCUUGGCUCAAAUUCCGAGUUAACUUGGUUGAAUCGGUUAAAUUACAAAAUUUUUUCUGAUUCAAAUCAGUGAUUUUUUUUCCCUUUCAAAUUAGAACAUAAAGAUCAUAAAAUUUUCCAAAAAAAUCAAAGGAAGAAGAAACAUUGAAAUUUAAUCGAGCCGUGACUUCUUUUUAAGUCUAGAAGAGGAGAGAUCAGGCAGAUGAGGGCUCACUUACCUCACCACAAUCGACGGAGCAUGAGAGUUUUGGGACCGAUGGAUCACUCCUCAGCGUCGAUUUCAGUGAACUAAGCAUUGGAUACCUUUUCCGGUGACGACGACCAUUCGGGGAGAGCUUUUAUCGCAAGUUUGCAAACUUGUAGUCAAAACAAUAUUUGGGAAAGUAAAUUAAAACUAGAAUGUUAUGAUUUAUAUGCACUAUGAGAUUUAAUGAGAAUAACUUGGAUGGCAUUUUAAUAUUUUUAAUUUAUUAUAUAAUCUAAAUUUUUUGUCUUAUAACAUUCCAAAUUAAAGUAGAAAAUCAAUAAUUAUUUAAAAAAUAUAUUUUUAAAAGAAUCAUAAUUAUAAAAACAACAUUUUAAUAAUAGGUUUAUAUUAGGGAAUCAAUAAUUAUUUUUGUAUGUUAUAAAGAUUACAUUUAUACUUGAAUUAUUUUUAAUUUUUUAUAUCAUAUAAAUUUUUUAUCUUAUAAUAUUGUAAAUUUUAAUUAUAUUAGGAAAUCAAUGAAUGAUUUUAUAACUAUUUAAAUGAUGUUAGUUAUGAGAUAAUUUUUUUUUAUAUUAUUUUUUACCUUAUUUACUUACUUGUACCUAUUUUUUUAAAAUAAUUUACAUAAUAUUUUUAAAAUUUUUAAAAUUUUCUAAUUAUCAUAUUUUGCGUAUCUUCCGAUACCAAACCGAUACACUGAGAUCGAUGUGCCUCAAGAUCGUCCGAGUCAAUGAUCGAUACUGCGACUUUGAAUCAUGAGGUGUACUUUGAGCCUCAAUAUGUCCGGGCUAGAUGAAUUCUAACCAAAACAAUUUCCAUGACAUCCAUUAUAGAUGAUAUAUAUGACACAUAUGGCACAUUUGAAAAACUCGAGCUCUUCACCGAGGCCAUUGAGAGGUUUGAUUGAUGCAAAUUACCAACCUUCAUCAUUUAUAUUGUAUGUGAUACUUAAAUCAAGCCUGGUUUUAUUUUCAGGUGGGAUAUUAACAGCAUAGAUCACCUUCCAGAAUACAUGAAACACUGCUAUGUGGCACUCUUAGAUGUGUACAAGAGAUGGAGAAAAAAGGAAACCAAUAUCGGGUUCAAAAUGCGAUAGAAGCAGUAGGACAUUCUGCAUUGACUUUGUUUUGUAUAGUAACAUAUCGUAAGGAUAUGGAUGUAACUUGAUUGAAUGUUUGACAGAUGAAAAACCUAGUUAGAGCUUAUUUUCAUGAGGCUAAUUGGUUCCAUGAAGGAAGCAUACCAACAAUGGAAGAGUAUAUGAGGAUAGCACUGGUAACCUCAGGUUACUACAUGCUUACAACCAUGUCUUUCAUUGGUAUGGGAGAAAUUGUAACAAAGGAGGCCUUUGAUUGGGUGAUCAGUGACCCUAAGAUUAUCACAGCAUCAGCUGUAAUUUGUAGGCUCAUGGAUGACAUCAGUUCACAUAAGGUAUUGUGAAUAUAGUAUUUCUUGUUAAGCUAUAAUUUGACCUUGACCUUAAAGCUCAAUCAAUUAAACAUAUUUACUGUACUCUUCUUCUAAACUAUAUAUGCAGUUUGAGCAAAAGAGAGGGCAUGUUGCCUCAGGCAUUGAAUGUUACAUGAAGCAAUAUGGUGCCUCUGAGGAAGAGGCAUACGAUGAGUUUCAGAAGCAAGUUGUGGAUGCAUGGAGGGAUAUUAACGAGGAGUUCCUACGACCUACAGUUGUUCCGAUGCCUCUCCUAAUGCGUGUGCUUAAUCUUUCUCGAGUGAUGGAUGUGAUCUACACGGGGGGAGAUGGGUACACUCAUGUUGGAAAAGUGAUGAAGAACAAUGUUGCAUCACUGCUCAUUCACCCUAUUGUAUGACCAAAUGGAUCAAGUUGAUCACCAUCUACAUAUUCUGCCUUACCUAGGGAGUAGGAUGAAUAAAAAUUAUUGUAAUAGUAUGGGAGAGACCUAUAAUGCUGUGACCCUAAGAUUAUCACAGCAUCAGCUGUAAUUUGUAGGCUCAUGGAUGACAUCAGUUCAUAUAAGGUAUUGUGAACAUAGUAUUUCUUGUUAAGCUAUAAUUUGACCUUGACCUUAAAGCUCAAUCAAUUAAACAUAUUUACUGCACUCAUUUGUGCGAUUCUUUUUCUUGGUAUCCAUGAUUAAUUAAUUAAUUGUCAUAAUUCUCUUAAUUCGUUUUGUAGAGAUCAUAUGUAUACGGACUUCAAAGGGUGCUACGGCUCACCAUUGUACAUUCCCAAGUAACCUGAUAAUCGGAUCUAGAUUCGAUUUUUGUAAACAUGUAUUUUUCAAAUAAGAAGUCACACAUGAUUUUCUUUUUAUUUUGUUUUUCCUUAAAAAAAAACUAAAAUAAAUAGCGACUAACUUUUCAAAAAUCAAUUUUUCACAAUGAAAAAGCGAGUCUCGCCAUUUUAAGUGGGGACACACAUGAAAAAUGCGGGUCCAUAAUGAGUUUAAUUAUUUCUAAAUUCAAAGGAUUAUAAAAAUUUAUUUAUAUAAAAAAAGGAUAUUCCAUUUUGAUGAUUCCAAUCUAUUUUAAGUACCAAAGAAAGUUUUGAUUUUUUUUCUUAUUUACAAAAAAAUGCUUCAAAGUUCUUAAUUUUCACAAAUUUUAUUUACCAACAUUCCAAUUUGAUUUUCAUACAGAAAGAAACUAUUUUUAUAAUUUUUAUUAAAAUAUGAUUUUUUUUUCAAUUUUUUUAAAAAAGUAUCUAAAUCUAAUCUUAUGUCCAUGAGAAUACUUUUACAAAUUCUUUAAGAAACGGAUUUUAAAAAUUUAUUUUUAAAAAAAAUUACAAUUUUAUUUAGAAAAUAAUAAAUAUUCGGAUCCAAUUUUAAUUACAUAAAAAAAUUAUUUUUUUAGUUUUUAUUGAAAAUAAGAUUUUUACAAUUUUAUUUACAUAAGUAUGAAAAUCCAAUUCCAUAUUAUUUACUAAAAUGCAUUUUUUUUUUUACUAUUUUUAAUAAGACAUGAUUUUUACAAUUUUUUUUUAAAGUUUACGAUUUUUAUUAAAAAAAAAAAAGUCUUUGCAAUUUUUUUUAACAAAUUUUUUAAUGUUUUAUUAAAACAAAAUGAUUUCUAGAUUUUAUUUUUUUUUAAAAUGAUUUUCAAAAGUUUAAAAAAAAAAAAAAACCUUUACAGUUUUAUUUAAAAAAAAAAAAACGAUUUUCCAACUGUAUUUACAAUUUAUUUAAAAACGGAUUUUACAGUUUAAAAAAAAAUACAUUUUAUUGUUUUAUUUCAAUCUUACUGUUGUUUUUAUUUUUUUGGAAAAAAAAAAAAAAAAAGAGAAGCUCAAAUUUAUUUUUCUCCUCUCUCUCUCUCUCCCUCCACACGCUCAUUAACUUUAAUGUCAAGGUAUCAGCCCAAUUGACUUGAUUUAUAUUAACUUAAAACUUUUGUUCUAAUAGGUACCUUCAUAUAACGGCAAAGCCUUUGAUUUAUAUAGGAAGUCAUGGAGGUGAACUGUGAACCUUAGUGAUGCGUACCCAAACCCUACCAUUUAUUUGUAAUAUAGUCAUCAUAAUAUUUAAAUUAAACAUUUAAAAUAUGUUUUUUGUUCUCUUAGAAAUACGAAAAGUGUAUCUUAUUCCCUUAAUAAUUCUCAACAUUCAACCAGCCGCCAAACAGUGAUUAAGACUUUUUCACGUGAAGAUAAAACUUAUGAUUGAUCUUAUUUUUAUAAAAACACUAAAAAACGAUUUUUUUUAUCUUUAACUUAAAAAUGGUUUUUAAAAAUAAUUUUUAGAAAACAUAAAUUAAACAGACUCUUAGGGUUUCAUUUGAGAAAUAAAUGAAGAAGAUUACAAAAAAAUUGAAAAUAAAUAAAGAAGAUGAUAUUUUAAUUUUUAUUUAAUAUCUUAAUUUUUAUUAUCUAAAAUUAUUUAAUUAUUCUAAUUAAUGAUAUUUUGAGUUUAAUUAUGAUUAAAAUAUAUAAAAGUCUUAAAUUGAGAUAAGUUGCUUAAAUGAUUGAUUGUGGAUUGAAAUUUUACUCACAAAAUAUGCAUGUGGCUUUCGCUUGAAAAGGCAUAUGUUGGGAAGCAGUUAUGCUUGGUUACGAGUUCUAUAAGCUUACGAUUUUAGAUUUGCAUGAUUAUCUUAAUUUGGAUUAGACAGCUACGGAGAAGGGGCCUUUAUUCAAACUGUUUGUCUUAUUCUCAACAAAGGAAGCAUUUUAUUUAAAACAGAACACUCUAAGAAAAACUAACAGCCAAAUUAAAACAAUUAGGCCAUGUUUGGUACGAAGCCAAAGCAAUUAGGUCAUGUUUAGCAUGAAGCCAAAUCACGACCAUGUUUGGUAUAUAGAAAUGAAGAGUAAGAAUAGAUAUGUUAUUUAUUUUCUCAUUCAUUUUCAUAUUUGGAUGAUUUAAGUAUAGUAAAAAUAAAAUAAAAAAUAAUUUCAAAGAAAUGAAACAAGUUAUUCUUAAAAACACUUUUUAAAAGUUAAAAAUCAAAAACUUUUUUAGAUAAGUCCGUUUUAAAAAUAAUUUUUUAUUUUGAUUUUGUAAAAAAGAAAUUAUAAAUUCAAUUUAUAUAAUAUAAAAUUAAUUUAAUUCAAGUCUUAUAAAAAAUAAAAAUAACUUUGUAAUUAUAAAUACAUUUUUAAAUUAAAUAUUUUUUAAUAAAAUAUGAAUAGGAUUAUCAUAAUAUAAUCAUAAAUUAUAUUUUUAAUAAAUAUUAUAAAAAAUAUGGAUAUUAACCUCUUAUAAAAGCAUAAUUGAUUUAUUUUGUUAAAAAUAAAUAAUAAUGAUUUAAAAUUAAUAAUUACUAAUACUAUUUUUUAAAAUUAUUAUACUUACUACUUUGUUUUAAAAAAUUAUUUCUCAAGAACAAUAAUCGAUAGUGGUAUUAAUUUUUAAAAACAAUUUUAUUUUUAAAUGAAAAGCCUAAACAGGUUUUUAUUAUUUAGCAAAAAAAAAAAAAAAAAACACUGUCAAACAUUUUUUUAAAAUGAAAAUAAAAAAAUUAUUUAAAAUGAUGUAUUGUGUAAGAGAUUUUUUUUAAAAUAAAAAUAAAAGAUUAAAGAUACUAUAAAUUAUGAUUAAAAUAAUGAAAAUUAAUAAAAUGAUAUUGGCUUUUUUUUUUAAAUACAUUCGAAAUAUUAAUCUAAAAAAAGAAGAUAAAUGAAUAAUAUAUUGAAAAAUAUAACUUUGUCUUUUUUCUUACAAUAAUUUUCAUAGCUUUAAAAAUAGUGAUCUUUAAUUUUCUUGCUAUUAUUUAUUAUUAGCUGAGUUGUAUAAAUUACAUUGUUAUAGUUUCCUUUAAAACCAAAAUAAAAAUCAAUCCAUGUGGUUCAAUGACAAUAUUGGCUGAAAAAAAAAAAUCACUUAAUUUUCAUCUACUAGAUCCUAGCCGCCACCUAAUAUUUAUGACUUGUUUGGAUAUUUUGAGUGAAUUUAACCAAAGAGACACUAGAAGGCCAAUAGUUUUCUUGCCAUCAGUCUCUUCCAUGCACUACCCUUUCAAAUCAUGGGCCCCAAAACCAAACCAAAUUCCACAUACUUUUCAACUACAUACAACCAAUGAAUGCCAAUGCUGCCCUAUAAAUAUGGAGCUUGCCAAGCUAUUUCUCUCAUACUUACUGUAACGCCGAAGUAUUUUUUUAAGGGUAAUUUAGGAAAUUACUAAUAAUAAUUCAAUUAGUUAAUUAAUUAAUUUAAUAAAGUGGAAGAUGGGUAAAAGUGUAAUUUUAUGAAUAAAUACCCUAGGUAUAAAUUAGAAAUUCUAUUUCUUCCUGUUCUUUUCUGAAUAGAAUUCCUGUUCGCAGAAUUUCAGAGAACGUAGAUUGAAGUUAGAUUUCAGGGUUGAAGAACAGAUCUCUAUAGGUAAGAUUCAGUUUAAUAUUUUAGAUUCAUUGAUUAAUUUCAAACACAUUAGAUAUCUUUUGGAAAACCCAAAUCUAGAUUAGGGUUAGUUUAUUUUAUUUUUUUUAAUUCGUUUUCAUAUCAAUAGUAAAAAAAUAAAAAAAAUAAAAAAAUAAAAAUAAAAAUUUAAGAUUUUGAUUUAUUGUUGGUAUUUAGGAGAUCUUAAGUUUUAUUAGAUGAAAAACAAAAAAAAGGUUCCUUGGAAGGUUUCGAUUUUAUAUUAGGGUUAAUUUUAUUAAAAAAAGAAAAAGGGCGUGCGCCAAAUGAAAGGAAGCCUUAUAUAUAUAUAUAAUGAAUCAUGAUGAUGGCAAUGGAAAAAAAAAAACUUGCUUUUUGGUUUGGUGUACCCGAGACAACUAGGUAAUGGUUGAGUGACUUUUGAAUUGGUUAAUUAAAAUAAUAAUAUUUAGUUUAAGAUUCAUAAUUAAGAUAAUAGUAAUAAUAGUCUUCUUUUUUUUGUAAUAAAUAGAAUGAGAGAUUUAGCAAAAUAUAUAUAUAUAUAUAUAUAUAUAUAUAUAGAAUUUUAUAAUGAAAUAAAAUUGUAAUUUAAUUAAAUUAGUAAUGUGUUAUUAGAAACAAAUUGAGAAUUUAUUAAUUUUAUUUAAAUAAGGAAUAGAUUAGUUAAAUUAUAGAUAAAUAGUAAUAAUUAUUUAUCUUAUGUUAUAUUAGGAGAAGAGUAGAUUUUUCCAGAAUUAUUUUUCUCCCAAGCUUUCAAGGUCUUUGCAUAAUUUGAGGUAAGGGAAGUUAAUGCAAUAUUUAUAAAAUUUAAAUUAUUUUAUAUGUUAUUUUGAAUUGUGGAAAAGAAAAUGAUAUUUUGUUACCAUGCAUGGAUCAAAUUGUUUUGCACUAAAUAUUAUGUUGGAAUAUUUUGUUUUAUUUAUGACACAAAAUAUGGAGAUAUUAUGUUGUGUAAAUUUGAAUACUUGAACAAAAACAUCACUCUGGUUUAUUUGACCCUUGUCAACGAGAUAUAAUAGUUGACUAUUCGGCCCUGUCAACAGGAUAUAAUAGUUGACCUUUACAUUUCAUGGUAAGAAUGUAAUUGAUUUGGACCCCAGCCUCUAGGGGUUUGGUUAGAGGUUACUAGUAGUAGUAGUGUUUGGUUCCGUCCACCAGGAACAACUUGAGGCUAGCCACCCAUUUGAAAAGUCCCACCUAACUGGGCAUUUGAUAUUUGAUAACCAGAGUAAUGAAAAUUGAAUGGAUUUGAUUGAAUCUUAUGUGAAAGUGUUUGAAUUUGAUAUGAAAAUGGUUGGUUGAAUUUUGAAUAUAUUGGUAUUUUUGAAACUCUGAUAUUUGAUGAGAAAAAAAAAUGAUAUCUCCUAUUUGAAAUGAAAAUAUUUUUCCAUGAACUGCAUUAAUAUUCCUUACUGGGCUGUGAGCUCAUUCCCAAUUGUUGAAAACUUUUCAGGUACUCUUAGUUCGGGUGAGGAGUGAUGGCUAGGAUGAGGAAUGGUCAUCAUUAGGAUUUGACUUAGGAUUUUAUGUUGGAUUUUGUUUAACUGUUAGUUAUGUUCAUUUGGACCCUUUGGUAUUUGGAAGUUAUUUGGAUAUUGAUCCUUCAAAUUUUAUGUUAGAUCAAAGUUGAGUUUUGGAGAUUUUGAAAUUUGUUCUAGUACUUGAAUUGUUUAAGUUUGCAAAUAUUUGGAUAAUGGAUUUUGGAUAGUGGAUGUUUUAGUUUUGAAAUUGAAUUUUGAGGAUUUUAGAUUUUGUUCCGCUACUCUGAAUAGGUAUUUGGUAAUUAGUAACUUCCGAUUACAAGAUAAUUGUUUGGGUCGGGUUACACUGUAAGCCUUCGGGUUUGAAGUGUGAAAUGACCGUCACGCUCUUGGAGUGGGUCUUGGGGCGUGACAGAGUGGUAUCAGAGCACUAGGUUUUGAUCUUGAUGGGAAUUUGAAUUGGUUUAGAUUGGGGAUAGAUGAGUGACGCAUUUGUUUAAGUUUUAGUUUCAUUUAGUAUAAAUUCCAAUUCUUUCUUUAUUUGUAAAUUUUCUAAUUGGUUCUUUAGUGACUAAAUUAGUUAUGCCUUAUUAUUUUAGGACAUCAUGCCACCAAGAAGAGCAACUUCUUCACAAAAUAGUCAGAUUAAUGAUGAUGUACCUCCAGUUGAGGGUUUGCCUCCCGUGAGUGCAAAAGGGAUCUAUAGGUAUCUUGGGACACUAGCUGGUUUAGUUGAACGCCAAGCUCGAGCUGUUGGGACUAAUGUUCAGGGACAGACUUCAUCUUCUAGGGGUAACUCUUUUGAUGACUUCAAGAAAUUGGGUCCUCCUUACUUUUCUGGUGCUACAGAUCCCACAGAGGCAGAGGCUUGGAUCCUUAAGGUGGAGAAAUUCUUUGGUGUCAUAGAUUGCUCUGAGGAGCAAAAAGCCUCUUAUGCAGCUUUUAUGUUAGAUAAAGAGGCAGAUCAUUGGUGGCGUAUGACUAGGAGACUUUUGGAGGAUCAGGGACCCAUAACAUGGAGACAAUUUAAGGAGGCUUUCUACAAGAAGUAUUUCCCUGACAGUGUUAGGCGGCAGAAGGUGGGAGAGUUUAUUCAUUUGGAACGGGGAGAUAUGACUGUGGCUCAAUAUGAGGCCAAAUUUACAGAGUUAUCAUGUUUUUCCCCACAGUUGAUUGCUACAGAGGAGGAAAAGGCAUUAAAGUUUCAGGAUGGAUUGAAGCCUUAUUUGAAGAACAAGAUAUCUAUUCUGAAGCUUGGUGUCUAUUCAGAGGUUGUUGACAGAGCCCUUAUAGCAGAGAAAGAUAAUGAGGAGCUUCAUCAGUAUAGGGAACAACAAAGGAAGUGAAAUAGGAGUGAUAGUGCUCAUGGUAAUCAAGCACAGCGAAGGUCUACAUCAGGAAGAAAUCAGAAUAAAGGGAAUGCAACGCAUUAUUUAGAUGGGGCUUGUCCUACUUGUGGUAAGAAGCAUGGGGGUAGGCCAUGCUAUAGAGAGACUGGAGCUUGCUUUGGUUGUGGGAAGCAAGGACAUUUGAUCAGAGAUUGUCUAGAGAAUAGGAAGUUCAUCAAUGGGAAGCCUAAAGAGGAAAAUAAGGAGGAUAAACAGAAACCCAAAGCCCAAGAACGGGUGUUUUCUUUGACUCAUCGAGAUGCUCAGGCCACUUCUGAUGUGGUAACAGGUACUCUCCGAAUCCACACCUUAUUUGCUAGAGUCUUGAUUGAUCCUGGAUCAACACACUCUUUUGUUUCAGUAUCUUUUGCCAGUUUGUUGGGUUUGCCUGUUGCUAGCAUGGACUUUGAUUUGAUUGUUACUACUCUUGUGGGAGAUUCUGUUGUGGUCAGUAGAAUGCUUAGAAAUUGUAUUGUGAUGAUUGGUUAUAGGGAAAUGCCAGUUGACUUAGUACUCCUUGAUCUUUAGGAUUUUGAUGUGAUUUUGGGGAUGGAUUGGUUAGCUUCCUACCAUGCCUCUGUUGACUAUUUUGAGAAAAUGGUGACGUUUAGUAUUCCUGGUCAGCCUAAGUUUAGCUUUGAAGGGAAGCAUGUGGACAGACCACUGCGUAUGAUCUCAGCCUUGCGAGCUAGUAGCUUGCUCAAGAAGGGUUGCCAAGGAUUUUUGGCUAGUGUGAUGAGUAAUGAAAGUGAUUUGAAGUUGGAAAACAUACCCAUAGUAAGGGAGUAUGUUGAUGUCUUUCCAGAGGAUUUGCCUGGCUUGCCACCAGAGAGAGAGGUGGAGUUUACCAUCGAUUUGGUACCAGGAACAGGUCCUAUGUCUAAGGCCCCAUACAAGAUAGCACCUGUGGAGCUUAAGGAGUUGAAAGUUCAGCUUCAAGAGUUAUUAGACAAGGGUUUUAUCAGGCCUAGUGUUUCACCUUGGGGAGCUCCUGUUCUAUUUGUAAAAAAGAAGGAUGGCUCAAGGAGACUUUGCAUUGACUAUAGGGAGUUGAAUAAGGUGACAGUGAAGAACAAGUAUCCCCUUCCUCGGAUUGAUGAUUUGUUUGAUCAGCUAUAAGGUGCUUGUGUGUUCUCUAAGAUAGAUCUUCAAUCGGGUUAUCACCAGUUGAGGGUUAGAGGGGAAGAUGUACCCAAGACUGCUUUUCGAACUAGGUAUGGGCACUAUGAGUUUCUUGUUAUGCCUUUUGGUUUGACUAAUGCACCUGCUACUUUUAUGGACUUGAUGAAUAGGGUAUUCAAACCCUAUUUAGAUCAGUUUGUGGUGGUUUUUGUAGAUGACAUCUUGGUAUACUCAAGAAGUAGAGAGGAGCAUGAGGGCCAUUUGAGUAUUGUAUUACAGACCCUCAGAGAUAAGCAGUUGUAUGCUAAACUGAAGAAGUGUGAGUUUUGGUUAGACCGAAUUNNNNNNNNNNNNNNNNNNNNNNNNNNNNNNNNNNNNNNNNNNNNNNNNNNNNNNNNNNNNNNNNNNNNNNNNNNNNNNNNNNNNNNNNNNNNNNNNNNNNAACGAAGAAGUUGCAGCCAUUACAAGCCAGUCACUCUAAAGUGUUGCGGAAUCAGCCUUUUGUUGCGAGAAUUUCGCAGCACUUUUGUACAGUAAGGUGUUUCUCCUUCUGACGAUGCACGAACCAUGCCGCGAGAAGGGAGCUGGAAACUUCAAGAUGGAAGCCAACUUUGCAGCCUAGUGAAGAUAGCUCGGUCUUGCAAGAUAAUUUCGCAGCCCUCUUGGGUGUCUGCGAAAUUUCGCAGGCCCCACUUUUCACCUGCGAAAUGGCUCCUGAAGCCUCCCGAAGCUUGCUACCGACAUUGGGAGAUAUUUUCCAUUAGAUUUUUGUUGUCUAAAUCCCAAAAUACUCCUUGUAAACCACCAAUUACAUGAUUCCUUAGUUUUUAGGUUAGUAAAAAGACCAAAUAUCUUUGUAAGAAUUAGUUUUAUAUUAGUUUGAUAUAAAUACCUCUCGGGAGCCUGUUCUCGGGGAGGAGUUCCUUCUGUAAACAUUUGGUAAGGAAGUAAAGGUCUUUUCUUUCUACUGCCUUACCUUCUCACUUUGUAUUUUCAUUAUAUUUCUAAGUUAUGAAUUCUCUGAGGAGUUUUCCCCAGAGAAUGAGUAACUAAACCUCCAAUUCCUUGGAGCUAAGGUUGCCGGGGAAGGUUCCAAGUGCAAAAAUGCAAAGCUCUGUGGUUUUAGCUAGUAAUGAAGAGGAAGUGAAAUCCUUUAGUGAUUUCAAUGUUUUUAGUUAACUUAAAACACCUUGGAGUCACCUGGGCCAACACUUGGUAAGGCAAGUGAUUUCCAACCGUGGAAAUGCACUAGUUUACCCCUUGCGAGCCUCUGGUAGGUGACUUCAAGGUAGGAUUUUCCGGAAUUACCAACACUUGGUAAGCUUUUGGACUCCUAGGAGACAUCCAUUAGUUAUCUCUUGCGAGUUUGUGAAGGGAAGUCCAAGGUUAAAGAUCACCUUGAAUGGUAAGUGCUCGUGAGAGGCAUGAACCAUUGCAAGGUGCAUCAGUGAGAGAAUUAAAGUGAAAUCUAAUUGAAGGAGUCUCUGUACAUCACCGGUUAGAGACUUGACUCUAAGUUGAAUCUCUAAUGCGAGGAAAUGAACCAUCUGACCAGAGCUAUGUCUUUUGCAUGAGGAACCACCCCAGUGAACCUAAAUCUCCNNNNNNNNNNNNNNNNNNNNNNNNNNNNNNNNNNNNNNNNNNNNNNNNNNNNNNNNNNNNNNNNNNNNNNNNNNNNNNNNNNNNNNNNNNNNNNNNNNNNAAAUCAAAGUUUGUGUUUUAUUUCUUAAACUAACCGUGAAAUGAAACAAAACCAAUUCACUUGGAAUUGGUAUCCUUGAUUGCUUGCAAAUCAUUCCUAGUGAACGAUCCUUAGAGCCACUAUACUAUAGUAGCUUUGUAUUUGCUACCCUAGUGUAUGGUGUUAUAGGUAUAAAUUUUGUUGAUCACUUCCUCAAUCAAGGAGCACCAGCUGAACACAAAUCAGCUGAGACACCAAUUGGGCAUGAGUCAGAGAUCUUGAGAUUUGGGACUAGACUUUGUGUCCCAAAUGAUGAAGACUUAAGAAGGGAGCUUUUAGAGGAAGCUCAUUGUUCCAAGUUUGCAAUCCACCCAAGAGGGACAAAGAUGUACAAGGAUUUGAGGCAAAACUAUUGGUGGUCAGGUAUGAAGCAUGAUAUUGCACAAUUUGUGGCUCAGUGUUUAGUGUGUCAACAGGUGAAGGCUGAGCAUCAGCGACCAGCAGGGUCUUUGCAGCCACUUGCUAUUCCUGAGUGGAAGUGGGAGCAUAUUACCAUGGAUUUUGUGAUAGGAUUGCCAAGAACCUUAGGGAGUAAUAAUGCUAUUUGAGUGGUUGUUGAUCGGUUGACAAAGUCUGCUCACUUUUUGCCUAUGAAAGUCAACUUUUCUUUAGAUCGUUUAGCUUUUCUUUAUGUGAAGGAGAUUGUGAGAAUGCAUGGAGUACUAGUUUCUAUAGUGUCUGAUAGAGAUCCUCGUUUCACUUCUAGAUUCUGGCAUAGUCUAUAAAAAGCUUUGGGCACUAAGUUGAGUUUUAGUACUGCUUUCCAUCCUCAAACUGAUGGUCAAUCAGAAAGGGUAAUUCAGGUUUUAGAAGACUUGUUGAGAGCUUGUAUUUUGGACUUGCAAGGUAAUUGGGAUGAUCAUUUACCUUUAGUAGAGUUUGCCUAUAACAAUAGUUUUCAAGCUAGCAUUGGGAUGUUACCUUUUGAGGCAUUGUAUGGUAGGAAAUGUCGAUCUCCUAUCUGUUGGAAUGAUGUUGGAGAAAGGAAACUUUUGGGGCCUGAACUUGUGCAGUUGAUUGUUGAAAAAGUUGCUUUGAUUAAAGAAAGAUUAAAAGCAGCUCAAAGUAGACAUAAGAGUUAUGCUAAUCAUCGUAGGCGAGAUUUGGAGUUUGAGGUGGGUGAUAUGUGUUCUUGAAAGUUUCACCUAUGAAGUCUGUGAUGAGAUUUGGGAGAAAAGAAAAACUUAGUCCUCGUUUUGUGGGUUCGUUUGAAAUAUUAGAAAGAGUAGGCACUUUGGCAUAUAAAGUAGCCUUGCCCCCAAGUCUAUCUAAGAUUCAUAAUGUUUUCCAUGUUUCAACCUUGAGGAAGUAUAUUUAUAAUCCAUCUCAUGUUGUGGAGUUGGAGCCUAUUCAAAUUUCGGAGGACUUGACCUAUGAAGAGGUACCCGUUCAAAUUGUGGAUGUGAUGGAUAAGGUACUGCGACAUGUUGUUGUCAAGUUGGUAAAGGUCCAGUGGAGCAAUCAUAGUAUCCGAGAGGCCACUUGGGAGUUAGAAGAAGAGAUGAGAGAAAAACAUCCUCAAUUAUUUCAAGACUCAAGUAUGUCAAGUUUAGAAGACUAAACUUUUGUUAAGAAGGGGAGGAUGUAACGCCCAAGUAUUUUUUUAAGGGUAAUUUAGGAAAUUACUAAUAAUAAUUCAAUUAGUUAAUUAAUUAAUUUAAUAAAGUGGAAGAGGGGUAAAAGUGUAAUUUACAAAUAAAUACCCUAGGUAUAAAUUAGAAAUUCUAUUUCUUCUUGUUCUUUUCUGAAUAGAGUUCCUGUUCGCAUGAAUUUCAGAGAACAUAGGUUGGAGUCAGAUUUCAAGGUUGAAGAACAGAUCUCUAUACGUAAGAUUUUAACCCCUAGUUUAAUAUUUUAGAUUCAUUGAUUAAUUUCAAACACAUUAGAUAUCUUUUGGAAAACCCAAAUCUAGAUUAGGGUUAGUUUUUAUUUUUUUUUUAUUUUUUUUUUUUAAUUCGUUCUAAUAUCAAUAGUAAAAAUAAUAAUAAUAAUAAUAAAAAUUUAAAAAAAAUUUAAGAUUUUGAUUUAUUGUUGGUAUUUGGGAGAUCUUAAGUUUUAUUAGAUGAAAAAAAAAAAAGGUUCCUUGGAAGGUUUCAAUUUUAUAUUAGGGUUAAUUUUAUUAAAAAAAGAAAAGGGGCGUGUGCCAAAUGGAAGGAAGCCUUAUAUAUAUAUAUAUAUAUAUAUAUAAUGAAUCAUGAUGAUGGCAAUGGAAAAAAAAAAAAAAACUUGCUUUUUGGUUUGGUGUACCCAAGACAACUAGGUAAUGGUUGAGUGGCUUUUGAAUUGGUUAAUUAAAAUAAUAAUAUUUAGUUUUAGAUUAAUAAUUAAGAUAAUAGUAAUAAUAGUCUUUUUUUUUUUUGUAAUAAAUAGAAUGAGAGAUUUAGCAAUAUAUAUAUAGAAUUUUAUAAUGAAAUAAAAUUGUAAUUUAAUUAAAUUAGUACUGUGUUAUUAGAAACAAAUUGAGAAUUUAUUAAUUUUAUUUAAAUAAGGAAUAGAUUAGUUAAAUUAUAGAUAAAUAGUAAUAAUUAUUUCUCUUAUGUUAUAUUAGGAGAAGAAUAGAUUUUUCCUGAAUUAUUUUUCUCCCAAGCUUUCAAGGUCUUUGCAUAAUUUGAGGUAAGGGAAGUUAAUGCAAUAUUUAUAAAAUUUAAAUUAUUUUAUAUGUUAUUUUGAAUUGUGGAAAAGAAAAUGAUAUUUUGUUACCAUGCAUGGAUCAAAUUGUUUUGCACUAAAUAUUAUGUUGGAAUAUUUUGUUUUAUUUAUGACACAAAAUAUGAAGAUAUUAUGUUGUGUAAAUUUGAAUACUUGAACAAAAACAUCACUCUGGUUUAUUUGACCCUUGUCAACGAGAUAUAAUAGUUGACUAUUCGGCCCUGUCAACGGGAUAUAAUAGUUGACCUUUACAUUUCAUGGUAAGAAUGUAAUUGAUUUGGACCCCAACCUCUAGGGGUUUGGUUAGAGGUUACUAGUAGUAAUAGUAUUUGGUUCCGUCCACCAAGAACAAUUUGAGGCUAGCCACCCAUUUGAAAAGUCCCACCUAACUGGGCAUUUGAUAUUUGAUAACUAGAGUAAUGAAAAUUGAAUGGAUUUGAUUGAAUCUUAUGUGAAAGUGUUUGAAUUUGAUAUGAAAAUGGUUGGUUGAAUUUUGAAUAUAUUGGUAUUUUUGAAACUCUGAUAUUUGAUGAGAAAAAAAAAAUGAUAUCUCCUAUUUGAAAUGAAAAUAUUUGAUCCAUGAACUGCAUUAAUAUUCCUUAUUGGGUUGUGAGCUCAUUCCCAAUUGUUGAAAAAUUUUCAGGUACUCUUAGUUCGGGUGAGGAAUGAUGGCUAAGCUGAGGAAUGGUCAUCAUUAGGAUUUGACUUAGGAUUUUAUGUUGGAUUUUGUUUAACUGUUUGUUAUGUUCAUUUGGACCCUUUGGUAUUUGGAAGUUAUUUGGAUAUUGAUCCUUCAAAUUUUAUGUUAGACCAAAGGUGAGAUUUGGAGAUUUUGAAAUUUGUUCUAGUACUUGAAUUGUUUAAGUUUGCAAAUAUUUGGACAAUGGAUUUUGGAUAGUGGAUGUUUUAGUUUUGAAAUUGAAUUUUGAGGAUUUUAGAUUUUGUUCCGCUACUCUGAACAGGUAUUUGGUAAUUGGUAACUUCCGAUUACAAGAUAAUUGUUUGGGUCAGGUUACACUGUAAGCCUUCGGGUUUGAAGUGUGAAAUGACCGUCAUGCCCUUGGAGUGGGUCUUGAGGCGUGACACUUACCGAUUCAUCAUUCAAGGUAUAGAACUGUUCUAUCAUUGAUCCAAGGAAUUAACAUGUCUACUCAAGUCUCAGCAUCUUCUCUAGCCCAGAUUCCCAAACCCAAAAAUCGUCCUGGCAAACUUUCACCCCAACAUUUGGGGUGACCAAUUUAUCACCUGCACUCCUGAAGACUAUGCAUCAAUUAUAAAUUUGACAGUUAUUUUUCUUAAUAUGUUGGAUGAUAAAAUUUGUUGGUCAAGGUUACACGUGCUUGCAAAGAGGAGCAGAUUGAGGAUCUGAAAAAGGAAGUGAAAAGGGAAUUAACGGUUGUUGUUGUUGCUAACCCUUCCCAAUUGCUGAACUUCAUUGAUGCAUACCACUUUGAGCAAGAGAUAGAAGAAGCAUUACAACAAAUUUGUAAUAGUUUUCAUGAUUGCAAUGAUAUGGAUGGUGAUCUCUACAAUAUUGCUCUUGGAUUUCGACUACUAAGGCAACAAGGGUACAGUAUUUCAUGUUGUAAGAGACUAAGAAAAAAUUGUUAUGUUAAACCUUCUUAUCAUUCAAAAUCUUAUGUUCAAGUGGUGAUGUUUAUGUAGGUAUAUUGAACAAGUUUACGGAUGAAUGAGGUAGAUUCAAGGAAGCUUUGAUCAACGAUGUAAGAGGCAUGCUAGGCUUGUAUGAAGCUGCACAUCUGAGGGUUCAUGGUGAGGACAUACUUGCAGAAGCACUUACUUUCACCACCACUCACCUCGAGGCCAUGGUAGAAAGUUUAGGAUAUCCUCUUGCAGAACAAGUUGCCCAUGCCCUGAACCGACCAUUAGAAAAGGUUUGGAGAGGUUAGAGGCAAGAUGGUAUUUAUCUGUCUACCAAGUGUUGGUUUAAGGGUAUGGAAACAAAGGACUAACUCAAAAGACACAAACAAAAAACAUAAUGAAUAGUAAGAAAAACUUAUUAGUUGAGGCGUGACAAACACUGUUCUUGAAAUAGAUCCACCCUCUUCGAAAACGAACUGAAUGCACUAAGGUGCCAGUGGUCUACCUCCAGGAUUCAAUAGCCAGAUCUUGCCUUGGGUGCACUCUAUAAGUGAGACAUGUACAACUUGGUUUUGAAAAAAUUCCUCCAAAAAGAUGUAUGAAAGACUCUCUGAAAAAUUGGUAUUCAAAGAGUAAAAGGUGACCUGCUUUUAUAGGUCACCAACACAGUCCUAAUGGGACUCUACUUGUAAUCAGAGGACUCAAAGUGGAAUGAGAUUCUACUUAUAAGUGAAACAGGACUCUAUUAGCACAAUCCCAAUGGGAUUCUUCCCAAAGGUAAAAGACUAAGUCAAAUGGAAUAAAAAUUAAAUAAAAAAAAUUGAAUUUUGUAAAAAUUAGUCAAAUUCGCUAAAACACUUUUUCACAUUUACACUCUUCCUACACCAAGAUGAAGCUUUCCAUGAUAAAACUUUACCAGAGCUAGCCAAAUUAGAUUUCAAUCUAGUGCAGUCACUGCACAAGGAAGAGCUAAGCAAUCUUGUAAGGUUGGUUUUUAAAUCACCCCACAUGUACUUGGCCAUUCUUAUCACUUUCUUGUAUACUGAUCAUAUUAAUGUCUUUUAGGUGGUGGAAAGAAUUAGACUUUGUUACAAAGUUAUCUUUUGCAUGAGACAGAUUGGUUGAAUGCUACUUUUGUAUACAUGGGGUAUAUUUUGAGCCUCAAUACUUACGAGCUAAACGAAUUCUAACCAAAGUAAUUGCUAUGACAUCCAUUCUAGAUGAUAUCUAUGAUGCAUAUGGCACACCUGGUGAACUCAAGCUCUUCACAGAAGCCAUUGAGAGGUUUGCUACUUGCACAUUACCAACCUUGAUUGUGUAUAAUAUAUGUAUUUAUAUAUACCUAAAUCAAGGGUCAUUAUUUUAUUUUCAGGUGGGAUAUUAACAGCAUAGAUCAACUUCCAGAAUACAUGAAACCCUGCUAUGUGGCACUCUUUGAUGUGUACAAAGAAAUCGAGGAAGAGAUGGAGAAAGAAGGAAACCAAUAUAGGGUGCACUAUGCCAAAGAAGUAGUAGGACAUCUUUAACUCUGGAUUCCCACCUUUUGCAUUGAUGAUAUUUUAUAUGGUCUCAUAUAUACAUAGAUAUAACUUGGGUGAAUGUCCAUUAGAUGAAGAAUCAAGUUCGAGGUUACAUGAAGAACACGUACCAACACUUGAAGAGUACAUGUGUGUUGCACUAGUAAGCUUUGGAUACUACAUGCUUGCAACCACAUCCUUGGUGGGAAUGGGAGAAAUAGUAACAAAGGAGGCCUUUGAUUGGGUGACCAGCGAUCCUAAGAUUAUGCCAUCUUCAAAUUUCAUUGCGAGGCUCAUGGAUGACAUCACAUCACAUAAGGUAUGCAGAAUAUGUUAUUCAAGUGGGGAGAAUAUAACACACCGGUUUUUUUUUUUCUCAACUUUUGCAUUAUACAUGCAGUUUGAGCAAAAGAGAAGGCAUGUGGCCUCAGCCAUUGAAUGUUACAUGAAGUAAUAUGGUGUCUCUGAGGAACAAGUAUACAGCGAGCUUCAAAAUCAAAUUGAGAAUGCAUGGUUGGAUGUCAACCAGGAAUGCCUCAAACCUACUACUAUUCCAAUGCCUCUCCUUGCUCCUAUUCUAAAUCUUACACGAGUCUCGGAUGUCAUUUACAAAGAGCAAGAUGCGUACACACAUGUUGGGAAAGUGAUGAAGAAUAACAUUGCGUACACACAUGUAGUUGAUUAUCGUCCCCUAUGUAUUGCCUUGUGGAAGAAGUAAUAUCUAAUAAAUCAUUAUAAUAAGGUGAGGGAACAAUACGUAAUAAAUCAUUGUAAUAUGGAAAGGGGGACACAUCAUAUGUAGCACCUAGUUUCUCUGGGUUCAUAGUGUUUUACUUUUGAAUAUUCCCUGAAUAUUUAAAUAAGAAUAUGUAUUACUUAAAUCACCUGAAUAUAUUAUUUAUUAUAUUAUAUUCUUUAAUACAUAUGUAUUAUUGUGAUUCAACUUGAGGAGUAUUGAUACUGAGUCUUAAAAUACAUAUGUAUGUAGAAUAUAUGUCUACAAAAAAUCCGGAUCUCCUUGUUAAUGUGUAAUGGUGUUUUGGAGUACUACAAUACUCACCAAAUAACUUCUUUACACUUUAUAAUGGACACUGACUGGUGAGUUUAUAGUUAAUUAAAGAUUUCACUCGAUAGCAAAUUAUUAUUAUUAUUAUUAUUAUUGUUAUUGUUGUUGCUAGCGUUAUUAUUAUUUAAUUCAUUAUUAUGAAAAUUAUUAUUAUUAUUACUAUUUAAUUAUUAUUAUUAUUAGCUAUUAAUUUUAGUUUUUUCUUUUUCAUCUUUUCUUUUUUGUUGUUUGUUAUAUACUUCAUAAAAUUAUAAGUUAUGGUCUUUUAUUAGGUUGAAAUUGGAAGUUCAAGUUCAUUAAAGUAUGACACAGUUAACUUAGGUUCACUAAUUUUGUAAAAAAUUUGAUGCAUUUAUAGGAUAAUUAAAUAAUUCAACAAACUUAUCAUUUUACUAAUUAAGGUUUUUUAUUUUAUUUUAUUUUUUAAAAAACUUUUUUACAUGUAAGAAUACAGAAAUUAUGGUUCAAUGUGAAACUUUGGAAUUGCAUGAAUAUGAAAGUGAAAUUUGUUGGUGUCGUUCCCAACUAGAGUUAGGUUCAUCCAACUUCACUGGAGUCAGGUGGACUGCUUCCUUUCUCCAACUCGUGAACUUAGCCGAUACUAAGUUAUGUGAUAACACCCAAUUUUUCCGUUCGUGCUUCUUGAGAAGUCCGUCCAGUUGUAUUGGAAUCAGACAGACUUCUUCCAUGCACAAAAGGAUGUCCAGACAGGUGAUUCGAGCACGUCCCUCCUAAACUUAAGUCAGUUAAGGAUAGUUCUAACUUAUUUUUGUGGCAGAAAAUGAGUUUAUGUGCAUGCCUACCUUGUUCAUGCUUUUUGAGGGGUUUAUAUAGAGUUGAUGAUACUGUCCCUAUAGUGCUGACUAUACACUCUAGUCUUUCUUGUAAUGAUGAUUGCCCUUAGGGCGGUUGAUUGGUGCCAUCUAUUGACGUGCCAAAAUCUCGGACCAGCAACCGAUUGUCCAUUUAGCUUGCCAAUGUCUGGGAUUGUGUGUAACAAUUAAUUGACAUUGACUUUUGGGUGUAAAUGGAGUCCUGUCCACUGCUUAGAUGUCAGGCGUCUAAUCCACUGCUCAAAUGUCCUGUGUCUGGGCCAACGCUCAGACAUCAAGCAUAGUUGAUCAUGCAUGCCAGAAAUCCUGAGGACUUGAUUAGACUGAUUUUUUCGUCUGAGAGUCCAACGAGCCUAGCCUAUCGAUUCCGUUCAACCUUGUGGAAGAAGAGAAACCUCUCACUUCUUGUGUCAGACAUAACUUAUCUUGGUCCAAACGAAUUGAUCCCAGACGGGUUAUAAGUUUGUUCUGGUCGGCCAAGGGGUCUUAAGCUUGAAAAUGACACGUGAAGGGAAACCCCCCACAAUGCCCUUUUAAUCUGUCUACUUCUAUUCAGAUGAAGAGGAGAUGUUUUUGGAGCGUCCAGUUAGUUUCCUAUCUGAACAGGAAUUCUGGGAUCGUUUCCAUAUUCCAGAGAAUAUCCCUAUUCUUCUAAUAGACGACGAGGCGUUAUCCUCCGUUGACCUGCCCAACAACAUGAUGUAUUUUACUAAGGAACAAUUCGUUGCAGGGCUCCGUCUACCUAUCCCCUCUCUCUUCAAGCAGUUUCUUCAUUUUAUGUAAAUCCCUUCAGCUUUUCUUCAUCCGAAUUUUGUCCGGGUAUUGAUGGGAUGUAGUGUUCUAGACAUGCUCUUUCAGUUGAAUCUCUCAUUGUUGGAAGUUUUGCUUGUUUACAUUGUCAAAAUGAGCUGGAAAGAAAGGUUUAGCUUUUCUUCCCAUAUUCCUUACUUGCAGCCAGUGACUGGUCUUUUAGAUUCAUGCAAAGGCUAGGUAAAGGGGCAUGUCCUAGUCUCUGGUCCUUGGAGUGGUUCGUCUGAGGAACCAGAUGGAGUCUUUUAUCCACAACAUUCAUUGGAGAUUCCGAGUAGGAUACGCUUCCAUCACUUUCUCUAUAUUUUGCAAUUAUUUCUUCCUCGCUGUCAAUUUAUUGUUGAUCUUUUUGUUUGUGUGAUAUAGGCAAGGAGAGGUGGGGACGCCUUGUAGAGUGGGUAGACAAGGCUUCUUUCACCUAUUUAACAAGUUGUUCGAAAUAGACGCGUUCAAAUGGGCCCCUAAAGUUCUUUUGUAAGAUAAUAAGUUGCUAACGCUAAUUGAUAAUCCAAAGUCGUUCAUCAUCCCCGUAUUUCCUCGUCUGGCUCCCCCGUCUUUGGUGCCUGGUGAACAUUUCGUGCUAAAGGAUUUGCCAUUCUAUGAGGUUGCUCGUCUGGCAUAUUAUAAGGCAUGUUAGGCCCGUUUAGAGGAGUGAGAGAAAAAACAUCAGGAAGGGACAUUGAGGCAAGCUCUAACUGCUAGUCUUCUAUCCUCCAGUUUUGUUGUCCAUCCUCUCACUAAAAAGAGGACGAAACCUACUGCUUCGCCUAUCUGGAAGGUAAGGACUCUGCCUCCUUCAUCUUUAUCUUCUCCAUCAACUUCAUCAUCUUCGUCAUCUCCAUCUUCUAGUGGCAAGCCAAAAUCAUGGGUUGUCCAGGUAGUGUCCCUUAUUAUUUGCGAGGAGGAAAAAGAAGAGGAUAUGGCUUCAAACUUGAGGGUCGGAUUUCGUGAGAGACAGCGCAAGUGCUUGUCCAAAUCCAUUGUUGUCAAUCCUACCCCCUCUAAGAAAGCUUGUUCAAAACCUACUUCAGCUCUUGCGCUCGUGUCGGUUCCUCUAACUACUGCUACAGUCUUCACCCUUAAGCUAGAUGAGAAACUUCCUUCUGUUGAUGAACAUGUUUAUCAUGAGACGAGGAUACCCUUCAUCAGCACGAACAACUUCAACAAAGAAUCGUUCGAAUACAUGACUUUUUUUUCUCUUUGUUCGAAGUCAACCUAUGUCCCCAAUCGGGAGGAGGUAUCUGAGCUUUUGAAGUGAAUCCCUGUCUUCACCGAAAGAGAGUCCCUGGUACAAAACAUAGGGUACUCUUUCCAGCUACUUAGCAAAUCCCAAUCGAGAUAGACAACGAUCCUAGUCGAUCUUUCAUGACCUGGCUUUUGUAUGACACUCCGAAUAUCGCCAUUUCUCGCAUUAUUCCCAUGCAAGACUAUAAGGCUUUUGAAAUGACAAAUAUGGUAAGUCACCUACCCUUUUCUUCUCAUUUUUCCUUAGCCUCUUGUUUCACAACGAUUUCUUUAUUGCAUCUUCAGGUGAUAGUCGAAGUUUGAAACCUCAUGCGGCAACACACUCCUUUUUUCUACCGAUUGGAAACAAUCGAGACCAUGAGGCCAUACUUUGCCCAUAAUAUGGAUGGGAAUGAGGAUCUUCUUGCCAGCUUGGAGACAAUAAAGAGUGAAGCUGCUGUUGCCCAAAAGCUUGUUAAAGAAGAAAUCGGUCUAUUGAGGAAGGCCGAGGAAGAGAAGGAGACAGUUCAAACUGAAGCUUGCCAACUAGUUGAAAAGAAGGAAACCAUGGUGGUUGACAAAAAAAAAGGCUGAAGAAGAGGCUGCCUAGCUGAGGCAGGAGCUACAGGAUCUCCGAGCAGGGUUUGCCUCUCAGAAAGAAGACUUGGAGGUUCACUACCAAAAGCAAGUGGAUGACAUGUUCUUGUACGACUAUCGUUGUUGUAUGAAGAAGCAUGGCAUCAUCCAUGAUGCUCUGAGUUUUCCUUUGGAUGACGAUGAUGAGUUUUUAGGCGACCCUGCCCAGGGAGGAGGAGAUGUUUUCGGAGACGAUCCUUAUGGCGAGUAGGCUUGAUCUCUUUGUUUGUAUUUAUUUAUUAUGGUUGGACGUGGCCUAGACUGCUAUAUCUAUAAAGACAAUGGAUGCUUUAUUUUUUCAAAUAUAUUUACUUUAUCCGUUUGUCUCUCAUACAUUGUUUUCAUAAGCAAACUUUAUUGAAAGUAAUACUUUAAAUUGGAUACAUUCUAAGAGCAGAGCAGGGGUACGUUGUCUAGUGUUUGAAAAUGGUAUACCCCUAAGUCUCUAGCCUUAGUUACAACAUAUGGCCCUUCCCAGUUAGCUUGAAGCUUUUCGGCUCCUAUUUCAGCUGUGUUCUCAAAUAUUCUUCUGAGGACUAAAGUUCCUAGCCAGAAAAACCAUGGUCGUGUUUUUUUGUUGUAAUGGGUGAUCGUCUUUUGAUGGUAAGAAACCAUUCAGAUAGUUAUGUCUCCUAGCAUUUCAUCUGCCCAAUCCAACUGUCUUAUGAGUUCUUCAUCAUUGUUCCUCUGAUCUUAUACAACUGUUUUAGUGGUAGGCAUGUCAAUUUCAGUUGGAAUAAUGACCUUCAUCCCAUAAGCAAGGGCAAAAGGAGUAGUUCCUAUUGGCCGUUUGGAUGUCGUUUUGUAAGCCCAUAAGAUUCCGAGCAGUUCAUCCACCCAUUUUCCUUUAGCUCCUUCCAGCAUUUUUUUAAUGCAUUCAGUAGGGUUUUGUUUGUCGCCUCAGCUUGCCCGUUACUCUACGGAUAGCAAAGUGUUGAAUACAAAUUCUUGAUGUUUAACUUCAAAUAGAAAGUUCGGAAGACGGUAUUGUAUGAUUGCUCGCAAAACUCCAAAUCGACAUACGAUGUUUUUCUAGACGAACUUGAAGACAUCCUUAUCUUUGAUGCUAGCAUAGUGUCACGGACUUAGUCGUUCACUAAGCUCGUGCGGCACUUAGACAAGCCAAGACGCUUGAUCUUGCUAAGUCAGCCUUGCUCCCAAUACUUAGCUCACCCGGCUAAGACACUCGCGACUCAAAAGCUUAAGAAGCUUGGUAGGCAACUCCUUAAAGAAUGGAAGCUUUCUAUUACUCAAAGAAGCCUUUACAAGUGCUUGGAUGCUCACUUGCUUGGUUAGGAAGUGAUUUUGGGUGGUGCCUUGGCCAAAUGAGGCCCUCACCUAUUUAUAGGCACCAAGGGAACUCUCUAGAACCUUGGAGGGUUCCCUUACAAAUCAAGAAUAUUCUAGAACAUCCUACCCUAUUCUAUGUACAACCCUAUGUACAAGAAUAUACAAGAGAUUCCUAGAAGUCUCUAGAAAGCCUUGGACUCCUCCCAUGCCUUCCACCAUAGUGUAGAGAUGUGUGGACAUCUCUAGGCAUUUCUAGAACCUUCCACACUCUUCCCACCAAUGACUUNNNNNNNNNNNNNNNNNNNNNNNNNNNNNNNNNNNNNNNNNNNNNNNNNNNNNNNNNNNNNNNNNNNNNNNNNNNNNNNNNNNNNNNNNNNNNNNNNNNNNNNNNNNNNNNNNNNNNNNNNNNNNNNNNNNNNNNNNNNNNNNNNNNNNNNNNNNNNNNNNNNNNNNNNNNNNNNNNNNNNNNNNNNNNNNNNNNNNNNNNNNNNNNNNNNNNNNNNNNNNNNNNNNNNNNNNNNNNNNNNNNNNNNNNNNNNNNNNNNNNNNNNNNNNNNNNNNNNNNNNNNNNNNNNNNNNNNNNNNNNNNNNNNNNNNNNNNNNNNNNNNNNNNNNNNNNNNNNNNNNNNNNNNNNNNNNNNNNNNNNNNNNNNNNNNNNNNNNNNNNNNNNNNNNNNNNNNNNNNNNNNNNNNNNNNNNNNNNNNNNNNNNNNNNNNNNNNNNNNNNNNNNNNNNNNNNNNNNNNNNNNNNNNNNNNNNNNNNNNNNNNNNNNNNNNNNNNNNNNNNNNNNNNNNNNNNNNNNNNNNNNNNNNNNNNNNNNNNNNNNNNNNNNNNNNNNNNNNNNNNNNNNNNNNNNNNNNNNNNNNNNNNNNNNNNNNNNNNNNNNNNNNNNNNNNNNNNNNNNNNNNNNNNNNNNNNNNNNNNNNNNNNNNNNNNNNNNNNNNNNNNNNNNNNNNNNNNNNNNNNNNNNNNNNNNNNNNNNNNNNNNNNNNNNNNNNNNNNNNNNNNNNNNNNNNNNNNNNNNNNNNNNNNNNNNNNNNNNNNNNNNNNNNNNNNNNNNNNNNNNNNNNNNNNNNNNNNNNNNNNNNNNNNNNNNNNNNNNNNNNNNNNNNNNNNNNNNNNNNNNNNNNNNNNNNNNNNNNNNNNNNNNNNNNNNNNNNNNNNNNNNNNNNNNNNNNNNNNNNNNNNNNNNNNNNNNNNNNNNNNNNNNNNNNNNNNNNNNNNNNNNNNNNNNNNNNNNNNNNNNNNNNNNNNNNNNNNNNNNNNNNNNNNNNNNNNNNNNNNNNNNNNNNNNNNNNNNNNNNNNNNNNNNNNNNNNNNNNNAGCCGCCUCAUCCGUCAAUGCGAUAGCCUCAAAGUAUCGCUCCAUAUGCCAUAAGAAGUUAUCCAACUCCUUGGCAUCCCGAUUGCCACUAAACCUAUGUGGCUUCGGCACCUCCACCCUAGAUGCCUCUUGUGUGGCCAUGACCCGUGCCGACACAGCAGCCUUGUAGAUGGCCAACUCCUGCCUAACUUCCUGGUCUCGGGACUCCAUUCGAGUGGCCAAGGCCUCUAUCCUUGACUCCAUGCUAGCAAGCAUGCUCAAGACCUUUCCUUGGAAGGACACAAACUCCUCGUGCGACACUGGUUGAACCUGUGAGAUUAGCACCCCCUCGCGAAGGUCUUGGAUCUGCUCCCUUAGAUCCUCUAAGCCCUUCUCCAUGCCUUGCUCGAUCAAGUCCAACCCUUCCCGAGUGUCCGCCAUGGCUAGCUCCACCUUCGCUAACCUUGCCUCCAUGUUGGCAACGGCAUCACGAGAUUUAUCCUUCCUGCCCCUGCCCCGUGCAGUAGGCUCGGUCUCUCUCCCACGGGUUUGCUCACUAGUCUCCUCCACGUUAGAGCCCGACAUGCUUCCUUUGCUAUGCCCACCUCGUAACCGCGCUCUGAUACCACUUGUCACGGACUUAGUCGUUCACUAAGCUCGUGCGGCACUUAGACAAGCCAAGACGCUUGAUCUUGCUAAGUCAGCCUUGCUCCCAAUACUUAGCUCACCCGGCUAAGACACUCGCGACUCAAAAGCUUAAGAAGCUUGGUAGGCAACUCCUUAAAGAAUGGAAGCUUUCUAUUACUCAAAGAAGCCUUUACAAGUGCUUGGAUGCUCACUUGCUUGGUUAGGAAGUGAUUUUGGGUGGUGCCUUGGCCAAAUGAGGCCCUCACCUAUUUAUAGGCACCAAGGGAACUCUCUAGAACCUUGGAGGGUUCCCUUACAAAUCAAGAAUAUUCUAGAACAUCCUACCCUAUUCUAUGUACAACCCUAUGUACAAGAAUAUACAAGAGAUUCCUAGAAGUCUCUAGAAAGCCUUGGACUCCUCCCAUGCCUUCCACCAUAGUGUAGAGAUGUGUGGACAUCUCUAGGCAUUUCUAGAACCUUCCACACUCUUCCCACCAAUGACUUAGUGUAGAUGGCUCCAGGAGUCUCCAGAAGCUUCCCUCCUUCUAUAUAAGCCCAUGGGGAGGGUCAUUUGAAGCAUCCUGUGACAAUAGGCUUCUGUUUCCACCCACUUGCUAAAAUAGUCAGUUGCAACGAGUAAAACUUUUUUUGAGCUAUUGCAACAAGUAAGGGACAAAUUAUGUCGAUCCCCCACUGCGCAAACAACCAAGGGCUUGUGACCAGACUGAGAGCUUCAGAAUGUACACGGGAAAUGGGAGCAUGUCUUUGACACCAGUCACAUCUCUUAAAAUAGUUUUCAGUGUUUUGUUUCAUGGUGGGCCAAUAGUACCCUUGCAUGUAAGCACGAUGUGCCAAGGUUCGUUCGCCUGUAUGAUUUCUAUAUACGCUUUCAUAGAGUUCGGCCAGGACAUACUUGGCUUCUGGCUUGCUCAAACACCUUAGGUAUGGUUCUCUAAAUGAUCAUCUAUAAAGCAGGUCAUUGAUUAAAGUGAAGCGAGAUGUUUGCACGCAGAGUCUGUGCAAUUGCUUCCAAUCUUCUAGUAAUUCUCUCGUCUAAAGGUAUUUUACAAUGUCAUGCAUCCAGCCAAGGUUUGCUUCAUUGGUACUGCACACUAGUUCGGGUGUGGCCUGAAGGUAGAUAGACAACAUCAUUGCCUCUUUUAUAAGGAGAGUGGCAACUAUUCCGGCCAAUGCAUCCGCCUUCAUGUUCUCCUUUCGGGGUACCAGUCUAACAAUCCACUCAUCUAGAUUUUUCAAGUGAUCUUCCACCAUGGCGAGGUAGCGAGCCAUGCGUUCGUCCAUUACUUCAUACUCUCGUUGAAUUUUCCCAACAAUUAGUUAAAAGUCGCUUCUGAUUUUCAAGUUUGUUGCAGCCAGUGUUAAGGCAAGAUCUAGCCUAACUAGGACAAAUUCAUAUCCUACUUUCGUACAAUCUCUCACAAAAUUCAUACACUCUCUCACAAAGUUCCUACCAUCUCUCACAAAGUUCGUACCCUCUCUCACAAAGUUCAUACCACAUCUCACAAAAUUCGUACACUUUCUCACAAAGUUCAUACUAUUUCUCACAAAGUUGGUACCUCUUCUCACAAAGUUCAUACCCUCUAUCACAAAGUUCAUACACUCUCUCACAAAGUUCGUACCAUGUCUCACAAAGUUCGUACAAUCUCUCACAAAGUUCAUACCUCAUCUCACAAAGUCCGUACCACAUCUCACAAUGUUCGUACCCCCUCUCAUAAAGUCCAUACCCCUUCUCACAAGUUCAUACCCCUUCUCACAAAGUUCGUACCCCCUCUUACAAAGUUCGUACCCCCUCUUACAAAGUUAGUACCACCUCUCAUAAAGUUCAUACCCCCCUCUUACAAAGUUUGUACCCCAUCUCACAAAGUUCUUACCACCUCUCAAAAAGUUCGUACCAUCUCUCACAAAGUACGUACCAUCUCUCACAAAGUAAGUACCAUUUCUCACAAAGUUCGUACACUCUCUCACAAAGUUCAUACCCUCUCUCACAAAGUUCGUACCAUCUCUCACAAAGUUUGUACCCCCUCUGAAAAAGUUCGUACCCUCUCUCACAAAGUUCGUACUAUUCCUCACAAAGUUCAUAUCAUCUCUCACAAAGUUCGUACCAUCUCUCACAAAGUUCGUACCCCCUCUAACAAAGUUUGUACCCCCUCUCACAGAAUUUGUACUCUCUCUCACAAAGGUCAUACCCUCUCUCACAAUGUUUGUACCCCUUCUCACAUUGUUUGUAUCAUCUAUCACAAUUUUCGUACCCCCUCUCACAUUGUUCGUACCCCUUCUCACAGUGUUUUCCUUCAAGAUAUAUAAAACUUCAUCUUCAAAUUUAAUCUACAAAUAAACAAAAUAAUAAUAUAAAAAUAUUAAUGACAAUUUAAUAAUAAAUGACUAAAUUGUCUCAAUUUGAUUAAUAAUAACUCAUAAAAAAAAAUUCAAAAAUCUAAAUGUUAUAAAGCAUUACAUAUUGUUCAUACCCUUUCUCACAAUGUUUGUACCCCCUCUCACAUUGUUCGUACCCCUUCUCACAUUGUUUUCCUUCUUCAAGAUAUAUAAAACUUCAUCUUCAAAUUUAAUCUAUAAAUAAACAAAAUAAUAAUGUAAAAAUAUUAAUGACAAUUUCAUAACAAAUGACUAAAUUGUUUCAAUUUGAUUAAUAAUAACUCAUAAAAAAAAUUCAAAAAUCUAAAUGUUGUAAAGCAUUACAUAUUUAAAUGUCAUUUAACAUGACAUUUCUACCUACAAAAUUUAUAUUUAAAUAAAAAAUAUCAAAUAUUACCUUUGACACUUGUAAUCACUUGAAAUCUUUCAUCUUUUUCAUAUAAUAGAAAUUUUAAAUUUUCUCCCUCAAAAAGUUUCAAACUUGAUCUUCAAAUUUGAUUUAUCAAAACACAUCUCACAUAUUUUAUAAUAUGGUAGUUGAAACUAUUUAAUUUUUAUAUUAAAUUAGUAUCCCUUUUUGUAAAUAUGAAUAAUGAGAGUAUAAGGAUAGUUGUUAGAAUUUUCUUUUUUUAGAUAGAAUUAGGUAACAUUAAAUAAUAAAUUAUAUUUGAUAUUUAAUAAUAAAUUAUAAAAAAAUUGUAAUAUUUAGAUAUGUAUGAAUUGCAUGUAAUUAUUUCUCACAAGCAAGCCAUCUUUAUCGGUUUAAUAAGUUUUUAAUUUUUUUUUUUAAGUGGGUAGGUACCCAAAAUAAAGAGUGGGUACCAAAGAACGAUAUAUAUUUUGUCUAUAUUCUGUAAGUGACUGAAUGAUAGAUGCCUGUUGGUGAAAGAGAUGCCUGUACGUCGGCUUAAGAGAUGUUCUUUAUAUCAAACAAUAUAUAUUUAUCUAUAUUCUGUAAGGGGCUGAAUGAUAAGAUGCCUGUUGGUCAAAGAGAUGCCUGUACGUUUGUCUCAAAGAUGCUUGUUUAUAUCUAAGAAACAAAAGAUUCACAUAAAAAAAAAAAAUGAUGCUUAGAUUAUAAUAUUGAUCCUUGUUCUAUUUGGUUUAAGAGAAUAGUUUGACAUACAUGCAUAAGGUAAUUAAUAAAUUCCUGGUCAAGUGUCACGUUCAAACAAAUUCCUGGUCAAGUGUCACGUUCAAACAAGAAGAUUAAUUAAUAAAAAAGGUCAUUUCAAGGAGUAAAAAAAUUAUGAAAAAUAUAUCAGUUUUAACCACUAAUAUUAAUUAUUAGCAAAAGUCACUUUGAACCAUAAAAAAAUAAAAAAUAAAAAAAAUUAAUAACAAAAUAUCACGUUGAACCACAAAUAUUAACUCACAGCAAAAGGUCACCCUACGCCAUACCUACUAACAGAAACAUGUUCAUUAGUUAACAUGUACACCAAACCACCAAGAGAGACAACACCUCAUAAAACAGUUUUUAAGACCAAAUUUUAAGAACAGUUUUUUAUGUUUUUAGAAACAUAAUUGUGUUUGGGAAUUGAAUUUUGAAAAAUACUUUUUAUUUUCAAAAACAAAAAAAAAACAUGUUUAGUUGAGUUAAUAAAAAAAGUUUUUAGAACAAGUAAAACAAAAAAAUAUAUUUGAAAGUUGCUUUUUUUUUUAAUUGAGAAUUUUCUUUAAUUAACUUGAUAUUGUAAUUAUAUACAUAAUUUUUAGAUUUACAUUUCAUUUAAAUUAAAAACUAUUAUAUUAUGAUAUUUAUUUGCAUGAGUUAUAAUUUUUUCAACAAAGGAUUACUUUACCUAAUUGAUGAAGGGUAAUAAAGGGACUCAUAAAUCUGCUCAUCUACAUCAUUUAUUUCAUCUAAUGAAAAGGUAUCAACAACCAUUGAUAUAAUCUACUAGCUAAAACAAAAAUGUAACAACAGCAACAAUUCAAGUAUUGGUACAUUUCAGAUCACUACAAAUUAAAAGACCUUUUGGGUACUUACAGGCGAAGAAUAAAGUGCAAACCAGCAGGAGAUAGACUCAAUAAACGAAUACAACUCAAUGGUGUAUUUAAUACUUAGAUCAGGCCUCCUUCCCCUGGAAGUUGUAAACAUGGAAUGAGCACCUGCAAAUCAAAGCAAGGGAACAGACAAAAACCAUUUUUUGUUACACUACAAGAACUAGACCAAGAGUAGAACCUGUAAAAUCAUAGUAAUCAAACACCAAAGGUCCAAAACCAGUGAUCCAUUUGCUAGAAAAGAGAAAUCAAAUUAAUGAAACACAUAUCACAAUCAUUUUAAAUAGAGCAGAGGUCAUUCAAAACCUAUGAAACUCUAGACGAUGUGUUAAUGAACCAGGAAAUAUUUUAAGAAAUCACACAAAGUGAUCUAUCUUAACCUAGUGUUAAUAUAAAAGAUUCAUAAUCCCAAGAUAGGGAAAAAAACAAAUACGCAGCCGAGAAUCAAACCAAUUAGGUAGAAGACAAAAAAAAAAAAAAACAUUUCAAAUUAAAUAUAUACUCCAAUCCGAAUCUCAAAACCAUAAAUUAUUUUCAUGGAGAAGACAAAGAAAGGAAGAAAAAGACAAUACCUAAAACACUGAGUCUCCUUCUCAUUGAAUCCCCUUGAUGCAAAAGAUGCAAAGGUUAUUCUUAGCUCUUCAUUAGGCAAAGAGAUCCAUAUGUUGCGACAUCUGCAAAAGCCUAACUGUUAUCUCUCUUGCCAAUAUCCAGAGGGUAGAAUAGGCCACCAGCCUAAAAUUCAAAGCUUCAUAACACCAUCAAAUAGCGUACAUACAAGCACAUGAACACAUAGAGAGAGACUUUUUACACGAACAGCACCUUCUCUGGCGGCUAAUACAAGAAUAUCAGCACGUGAGGGUAGGUUGCUUCCAGCUCUUCCUUGAUGGAUUCAAUUAUAUCAAAGCCUUUUAGAGUUUCAUUAGAAAGCGAAUCUUUCUCUGAAUGGAUUCCAAUAUUUUUCUUGCCGUCAGUCUCUUCCGUGCACAACCCUUUCAAAUCAUGGGCCCCAAAAACAAACCAAAUUCCACAUACUUUUCAACUAAAUACAACCAUGAAUGCCAGUGCUGCCCUAUAAAUAAUAUGGAGCUUGCCAAGCUAUUUCUCUCAUACCUACCAAUUCAUCAUUCAAGGUAUAGUACUGUUCUAUCAUUGUUCCAAGGAAUUAACAUGUCUACUCAAGUCUCAGCAUCUUCUCUAGCCCAGAUUCCCAAACCUAAAAAUCGUCCUGUGGCAAACUAUCACCCCAACAUUUGGGGUGACCAGUUUAUCUCCUACAUUCCUGAAGACAAGGUAAUUGAAUGAAAAUAUGCAUCAAGUUUAAUGGCUUACAUACUUAUUUGGCAGUUAUUUUUCUUAAUGUGUUGGAUGAAAAAAAAUUUUGGUCCAGGUUACACGUGCCUGCAAAGAGGAGCAGUUUGUGGAUCUGAAAAAGGAAGUGAAAAGGAAAUUAACGGCUGCUGCUGUUGCUAACCCUUCCCAAUUGCUGAACUUCAUUGAUGCAGUGCAACGUCUUGGGGUGGCAUACCACUUUGAGCAAGAGAUAGAAGAAGCAUUGCAACAUAUUUGUAACAGUUUUCAUGACUGCAAUGAUAUGGAUGGUGAUCUCUACAAUAUUGCUCUUGGAUUUCGACUACUAAGGCAACAAGGGUACAGUAUUUCAUGUGGUAAGAGACUAAGAAAAAAAUGUUAUGUUCAACCUUCUUAUCAUUUAAAUCUUAUGUUCAAGUGGUGAUGUUUGUGUAGGCAUAUUCAACAAGUUUAUGGAUGAACGAGGUAGAUUCAAGGAAGCUUUGAUCAGCGAUGUAAGAGGCAUGCUAUGCUUGUAUGAAGCUGCACAUCUGAGGGUUCAUGGAGAGGACAUAAUUGCAAAAGCACUUGCUUUCACCACCACUCACCUCAAGGCCAUGGUAGAAAGUUUAGGAUACCAUCUUGCAGAACAAGUUGCUCAUGCCCUGAACCGGCCCAUUAGAAAAGGUUUGGAGAGGCUAGAGGCAAGAUGGUAUAUAUCUGUCUACCAAGAUGAAGCUUUCCAUGAUAAAACUUUACUAGAGCUAGCAAAAUUAGAUUUCAAUCUAGUGCAGUCACUGCACAAGGAAGAGCUAAGCAAAUCUUGCAAGGUUGGUUUUUAGAUCACCCCACAUGUACUUGGCCAUUCUUAUCACUUUCCUGUAUGCUGAUCAUAUUAAUGUCUUUUAGGUGGUGGAAAGAAUUAGACUUUGCUACAAAGUUACCUUUUGCACGAGACAGAUUGGUUGAAUGCUACUUUUGGAUACUUGGGGUGUAUUUUGAGCCUCAAUACUUACGGGGUAGACGAAUUCUAACCAAAGUAAUUGCCAUGACAUCCAUUCUAGAUGAUAUCCAUGAUGCAUAUGGCACACCUGAAGAACUCAAGCUCUUCAAGGAAGCCAUUGAGAGGUUUGCUCCUUGCACAUUACCAACCUUGAUUGUGUAUAAUAGAUGUAUUCAUAUAUACCUAAAUCAAGGGUCGUUAUUUUAUUUUCAGGUGGGAUAUUAACAGCAUAGAUCAGCUUCCAGAAUACAUGAAACUCUGCUAUGCGUCACUCUUAGAUGUGUACAAAGAAAUCGAGGAAGAGAUGGAGAAAGAAGGAAACCAAUAUCGGGUUCACUAUGCCAAAGAAGUAGUAGGACAUCUUUAACUCUGGAUCCCCACCUUUUGUAUUGAUGAUAUUUUAUAUGGUCUCAUAUAUACAUAGAUAUAACUUGGAUGAAUGUUCUUUAGAUGAAGAAUCAAGUUCGAGCUUACUUUGCUGAGGCCAAAUGGUUACAUGAAGAACACGUACCAACAAUUGAAGACUACAUGCGUGUUGCACUAGUAAGCUCUGGAUACUGCAUGCUUGUAACCACGUCCUUGGUGGGAAUGGGAGAAAUAGCAACAAAGGAGGCCUUUGAUUGGAUGACCAGCGAUCCUAAGAUUAUGUCAUCUUCAAAUUUCAUUGCGAGGCUCAUGGAUGACAUCAAAUCACAUAAGGUAUGCAGAAUAUGUGAUUCAAAUGGGGAGACUAAAACACUAUGGUUUUUCCUCAACUUUUGUAUUAUACAUGCAGUUUGAGCAAAAGAGACGACAUGUGGCCUCAGCUGUUGAAUGUUACAUGAAGCAAUAUGGUGUCUCUGAGGAACAAGUAUACAGUGAAUUUCAAAAGCAAAUUGAGAAUGCAUGGCUGGAUAUUAACCAGGAAUGCCUCAAACCUACUGCUGUUUCAAUGCCUCUCCUUGCUCGUAUUCUCAAUCUUACACGAACCGCGGAUGUCUUUUACAAAGAGCAAGAUUCGUUCACACAUGUUGGGAAAGUGAUGAGGGAUAACAUUGCGUCUGUCUUCAUUAACGCUGUAAUAUAACCAAAUAGAGUAGUUGAUUAC
rnacentral:lncRNA from 1 species